rnacentral:lncRNA from 1 species
UAUACUUUGCACCUUCUUUCUCUUCUUCCCUCUUCCUUUCUCCGCUAAUAAGCAGCACAUUUUCCUCUUCCACCUGCACUUUGAUGUCUCCAGAUUUCAACCCGGGCAUAUCCACAACGAAAACAUAGGAAUUAGGGUACUCUUUCACGUCUGCUGGUGUGGCAGCCAUGGCUUUAGCAUCACGAACAUAGUUCCUAGAUGGGGCAUUCACAGACUUGUCUGAUUCGUCACCUGCACUAUCCAUCAUGUGCUGGAGAACAUGGAAAAUUGGUGUGUUGUCCAUACCCAUCAGCCUGAAAUCCAUUUUCCUCUGUGAUUUUUGUUUGGAAUUGUUCAAAUUCUAGCUUAGUUUCUGAUUGAUUGAACUGGUGUAAGGAAGAGAUUUGGUUAUAUAGUGGAAAUGUGGAAACUUCUCGAGAAAAAUAGAAGAAGAAGAAUGAGGAAAGUUUCUAGGAGCUUCUGCAAUUCUCCUUGUCCUAGUUCUACGUUUAUCUAGAACUUUGCCGAUUUUUCCUUUAAUUGUACUUUUAAAAGUUUGAUAUUAUUCGGGUCAUUUAUUUGCUCAUCCUUGAAUUAUAUCCUAGCAUUUAUUUAUAAUUUCUGAAUUAUUUAGUAUUUGCUCUUAGCAUCAUAAAUUGUUAUUUUAUUUUUCACUUAUUUCUUUAAACAAAAUUAAAAACAUAGUUGAAGAUGAUGAUAGAAGGAUAUAUAAUUUUUAUUUUUUAUUAUUAGUAUAAAAUCAUGAGAAUUUUUGUGACGUAUGAAGAAAUAUUUAUUUUUGUAGUAAAUUUUUCAUAUGUAGUGAUUUAAUUUAUGGAGUAUUUUUAAAUACAUUUUGCUUGAUGUUUAAGUAUUUUUAAAUUAUUGUAUUAAUAUUUAAUAUUUUUUAAUAUAUCUAUGUAGAUAAAUAUUAGGUGAAAAUUUGUACUCCCUCCGUCUCAAAUGGAGAUGACACAUUGAUUAAGAAAAAUAAUUAAUAACACACCUAUUAAAUGAUGUUUACAUUUUAAUUUGAAGAAAAAAUAAUUAAUGCAAAGAGUAAAACAUGAAAAAAAAAAACCUGGACCCUAGAGGAGAUUAAGAGAGCCACUUUCUCUAAACCCCACAAAGCCCCUGGACCUGAUUCCCUUUCUCUGCUUAUUCCCUCCUUGAUUAUAUUCCCACCCUAGAGGAGAUUAAGAGAGCCACUUUCUCCUUUAAACCCCACAAAGCCCCUGGACCUGAUGGCAUGCACCCAAUGUACCAGAAAUACUGGGCUACUAUGGCCCCCCUUCUGUUGGACUUUUGUACUACCUCCUUCACUACCAACCUUAUAGAGGAGAACGCGAAUACUACUUACAUUUGUCUCAUUUCAAAAUGCAAGAAUGCCUAUUCCCUGAAGAACUUCAGACCCAUUGGCUUAUGUAAUACUCAGUAUAAGAUUGUCACUAAGAUUAUUGCUAAUAGGAUCAAGCCUCACCUUCGAAGAAUCAUUGGGCAUUCCCAAGCCAGCUUUCUCUCCUCUAGAAGAGCUGCUGAUCAUGCUAUUAUUGUCCAGGAAUAUCUUACUCACUUCCAUAAGAUGUCUGGGUCUAAAAGUAAUAUGCUUUUGAAAAUAGACCUUGAGAAGGCCUUUAAUAGACUGGAGUGGUCUUUUAUUAGGCAGGCUCUAUACUUUUUCAAUUUUCCCCCAGCUCUUUCUAGACUAAUUAUGUCCUCUAUCUCAACUUCCUCUAUUUCUGUGCUGGUUAAUGGUAGUCCCACCCCUAGUUUUACCCCUACCAGAGGCAUUAGACAGGGUAACCAUAUAUCCCCCUACCUGUUUAUCCUUUGCAUGGAGUUACUUUCUAGAAGAAUCAAUUAUGAGGUAGACAUCCUGACUGGAUUCCCAUCUCUGUUAACAGGAAAGGCCCUCCAUCUCCCGUAUCUUCUUUGCUGAUGAUCUUACUCUCUUUGUUAGGGCUGAUAGGGCCAAUUGUCAUACCAUACUCAACACUUUCCAGAGUUUUUCCACUCAUUCUUGCCAGAAAGUGAAUCUUCACAAGUUUAAAGUGACCUUUUCCAGGAAUUGCAGUCUAACCACUCAUCAGGAUCUAUCUUAGAUUCUUGAUAUUAACCCCUGUCCUACAUUUGGGAAAUAUCUUGGAUUUCCCAUGUUCCACUCUCCCGUAAGUCCUCUGACUUUCAAUUCCUGCUAGACAACAUGAAUAGAAAACUUGCGAGAUGGAAAACCAAGUUUCUAAUCAUGGCUAGCAGGACUGUCUUAGCUAAAGCCUCUCUUGGUGGGAUUCCCAAUCAUGUUAUGCAGAUUAACUUCCUACCAAGUACCAUUCAUAAGAGAAUUGAUAGGAUCCAGAGAAACUUCAUUUGAGGGACCACUGACUUUAAGAAGAAGAUGCACUUAGUCAGUUGGGAGAACAUCACUAAAACCAAAAGGGAUGGUGGUCUAGGUAUUCAGAAGGCUAGUAUAGAGAAUAAAACUCUUCUCUAUUGUUUAUCUUGGAGAAUGCACUCCUACCCUACUUCCCUAUGGGCAAACGUCCUUAUUAACAAAUACAAUAGAAACUAUUCCAUUCUCUCUUCCUACACCUUUAGAGUUUGGAGGAACAUCUCUAGAUACUGGGCUUUUUGUAGGGAAGCUAUUUAGUGAGAGGUUUAUGAUGGGACUAAAGUGACUGUCUAGGAUGAUAGAUGGAUUCACAACCUCUGCUUAUUCAGGCCCCCCUCCCUAUUCCCAUUUCUCUUUCGCUCACUCAGAUCUAGCACCAAGGAACUUGGAACCUUGAUGCUCUACCCUUUGAGGUGCCCUUAGAUAUAAAACAUUCCAUCCUUCAUACCUUCAUGCCAAACUUGAGAUUGAGGGAUGACUCCUCCCUUUGGGUCUUAAAUGGUAGAUAGUCCUUCUUCUGCAAUAGUGCUUAUUCCCUUCUUAGCCAAGGAGGAUAUACCAAUACUAACAACCCUAGUUCUUGGAAUUGGAUCUGGCAUGCUAAGAUCCCUACCAAGUUGCAAUUCUUCCUUUGGUUGAUGCAACAUUAGAGUCUCCCUACUAAGGCCACCUUGUCCUAUAGGGGUAUAGACAUUACCCCCAUCUGUGGGUAUUGCACCCAUCCAUGUGAGGACUCCUUCCACAUUUUUUUCUAUUGCCCUUCUGUGUCCUCCUUUUGGGUUGAUCUGGUUAAUGCCUACAGAGGUGACCUCACCAUCACUACCCAUUAUUUCUUCCCUGCCAACUGGCCUAGCACUUGUAAAUACCUCCUUCCUGCCACCUUUGAUAACCUUAUCCCUUGGUCCAUUCUCCUACCUUAUUGCCUUUGGUAUAUCUGGAAGAACAGGAAUAAUAAUCUCUUUAACCAUCAUCAUGGCAGCCCGAAUUUUAAGAAGGCGUAUGUUGAGGCAGUCAAAUUCUUUCACUUAUCUAACCAUAGUUCCCCAGACCCUCACAUUUCUAUUUCCUUAUGUUGGACCAUUCCUCCUCUAUCUCAUUUCAAGCUCAAUACUGAUGGAGCUUGUAGAGGCAAUUCUGGGAAAGGGGGUAUUGAGGGAGUGAUACGUGACUCCAGUGGAAACUAAGUGGGGGUGAUUCUGCUAAAGUUUUUAUCAUAUUACUAAUACUCACAUGGAGCUCUUAGCCUUACUUAGGGGCCUCACUUUAGCUUAUAAUCAUCACUGGUUUCCUCUUGAGAUCAACACUGAUUCCCAUCUUAUUAUUUUGAUGCUCCGGCAGGGACACUUAUUAUAUAAUCCCAUUCUUGAUGCUUGCAGAUCUAUGAUAAGAAGGAUGAGUGCUCCACCAGUUCGACACAGCUAUAAAGAGCAACAUAAGGUCGCAGAUGCAUUAGCCAAGAAAGAAGCUAAAAGUAAUCAGUUCGCAAACUACUUAAUUUUGGAUCCCCCUUCCCCUUUGUAGCCCGUGAAAUUUGGGCGGAUAGGAUAUGAACUUGCUAUCGUAGGGAUGUAUUGCCAUCUGACCCUUCCUUUGGGAGUAGCCCAACCGUUUUUGUACUUGAGCCGGACUAGGCUCGUGAACUUUGUAAUUAUCGUUUAUUAGUAAUGCAUAUCUUGUUAAUAAAAAAAAUAUAAACAAAAUUUAUCAUGGCUCACUCAAGUUUUGCCUUGAUCAAGUUUUAUGACAGUUGUUAUUUUAUUCAAAGUCUCGAACCUCAUCUUUUUGAACAAUGUUUUUAUGGUAUACUAUUAAAUUACUAAUUAAUAAUUAUUAUAAAUGUAGUUAUAAUUAGUUGAACAAAUGAUUAAUAAUUGGAUAUAGUUAUCACAAAAGUGUAUUUGUACAAUAAUUUAUAUCUAAAUAAGUAAGUGAUUAAAUUUAGUUAUUUUUUAUUAACUAAUUAUAAAAAAUUUAAACAAAUUAACUUUACUAAAUUUUACUUUAGACUUAUUUCAUCGGAAUAAUAUCUCUAUCGAUCUAGUGUAAUUAGUGUUGUCAAUGAUGCGAUUCAAUUUUAUGACUUGUGAGUUUCAAAUAUAAUUUUUUUUAAAAUAAAUGAUUAUAGAAAUUUCAAUUACCUAAUUAUAAAGAAUUUAAACAAAAUUUUAAUAUGUUUCACUCAAGUUUCAUCAUGAUCAAGUGUUUUAAGAAUUAUCAUUUGAUUGGAGGUGUUUUUUAUUCGACUCAAUUCAAAUUUACAAGAUCUUAUUUAUAAGUUUCAAAUAUAAUUUGAAUAAAUAAAUUAUUAUAUGCAAAUAUUUUAUUAAUUAAUAUACUUAAUCUAUUUUUUUUUUUUUUACAAAUUCUCGCUAAUUAUAUGAAGAUAGAUACAAAUUAUUUGUCGUGGAUAAAUACACUUACUAUACAUAUAUAUCUUGUAAAAUAAAAUUUUCUUUAUAACUACUGUUCGCAUCAUAAUAAAAUUUCAUAGCAAUAAUUACAAAUUCUUAGUCAUGGACCAUAUAAAAUAUGUAAAUAAAUUUUAGCCACACUUAUUGCUACAAAUGUUACGGAAAAAAAUAUUUUGGUUAGAUUAUUUAGCAAAAUAAUUUUUUACAUUUAACCACGACGUAUUUUGUUAGUAUAUCCAUCUAUAGAAAAAUGUGAAAUAACAAAAUUUUAAGCAUGUCAAAACAUGUUAUUAUUAAAUCUCUGAGUGAAUUUCCUAAACAGUCACUCAAGUUUUGAGAAUUUCUUUCAAAUAUAACUUAUCUUUCAUUUAGGACCACAAUAUUACUUAACUAUCACUCUUUUCCUAAAAAAAUACCAAACACCUCAAAAGUAUUCUUCUCUCGUAAUUGGCAUGCCAUGCCAUUAAAAUCACAUUUUAAAAUAGUAAAUCAUUUAAUUCAUCAAACUCAUUUACUCAAAAUUAUAACUUUAUCCUUUUUUCUUUUUGAGAAAAAUGCAUUAGUUUGAUUUUCCUGUUUAGGAAUUCUUUACCAAAACUUAAUCUUUACCAUAUUAUUUUACAUGCAAAUUACAAUCUCUAGAUAGCUUAUUUACUUUAAUGGUAUUAUUUUCUUUAGAAAACAAUUGAUUUUUGUAGGCAAUUAUAUAUAAAAAUUUGAAUGAUCAUCUAGGAAAAUAGUAUGAGAAUUUCUUCUUAAUAAAUUAAUAUAUAUAUAUUUUUUUAAAAUAAAAUAAUUAUUUUGGUUAAAUGAGUUUGUUGAGUUAGUAUGUUUAUUAUUUUUUUAAAAUGAUGGUCUACUGGUAUGACAUGCUAAUUAGAAGAGAAGGGAACUUUUGAGGCUUUUAGUAAUUUUUUGAGAAAAAUAUUAAUAACUGAGUGGCAUUAUUGUCUUAGCAAAAACAAAAAGAUAUUUUUAUAAGCGACUCUAGAAACAUUGAUAACAAUCCAAGAAAAUAACAUUAGAAAAAAUUGAAAGUGUAAGUAAUGACAAAAGAUUUCUAAGCAUGAAAAUUUCUUCUUAAUAAAUUAAUAUAUUUCUUUUAAAGAAAAGAAUAAGAAUAUAAUUUUGACUAAAUAAGUUUGAUGAUUUAAAUAGGUCUAUUAUUAAAAAAAUAAUUUAGUCACAUGGCCUGUCAAUUAGAAGAGAAAGAGACGUAUGAGAUAUUUUUUUAAUUUGAGGAUAAUAACGACAGUUAAGUCAUAUUAUUAUCUCUAAAAAGAAAAAAAUAAUUUUUGUAGCGAAUUCAAAAAUAUGAGUGAUCAUUCAGAAAAAUAACCUUUGAAAAAAUAUGUCAAGUUAUAGUACCGAUAAAGUUUUUCUAAGUAUAAAAAUUUAUGUUUAAUAAAUAAUGUAUUUUUUCAAUAAAAAAAAGAAUUAUAGUUUGAUUAAAUGAGUUUAAUGAGUUAAAUAGGUUUAGUAUUUUUAAAAAAAGUUUUAAUGACAUGACAUACCAACUAAGAGAGAAGAACACUUUUGAAGUGUUUAGUAUCUUUCGAGGAAAAAGUAAUAGUUGAGUGAUAUUGUGAUCCUGAAUGAAACAUAAGUGAUAUUUGAAGAAAAUUUUUAAAACUUGGGCGACUAUUUAGGAAAUUCACUUUUAAAACUCUAUUUUCAUACACUGAUUUUCAUAUUCAUUUUUUAAAAAAAUCAUAAAAUCGAACUAGAUAAAAAAUAAAUAAAACAACUUAAUUAAAUUUCUCAAAAUAUGUACAAAGUAUAAACUAUGCAUAAUUAAAAGCUAAACUAAAAUUAAACAACUUCAAACGUAAAAAAGAAAAAAUAACUAACAAUUAAUAAAUAAUUUUGUACUAAUUAAUUUUUAUGUUCUUAAUUACAUACUACUACAUUUGACAAUUAUUUAAUAAUAUAAUUGCAAAUUAAAAAAUUAGAUAAUUAAAAUAGAAUACAUAAGUUGUCCAUUCCCAUGUAUUGGAAAUGUUUUCAAUGUAUUGAAAAAUGAUUGUUAAAGAAACUAAUGUUAGAAAUUUAAAUUUAGGAUGAAAAGGGCAAAAAUGUCUAAAAACUAACUAGUUUAUAGUGUGAAUAAGGCUUUUUACUAUUGUAGCCAAAUUUGGGCCAACUUUUGUGGCCAAAAAGAUUUUUCCCAACAUUAAAUGGUUGUGUUGAAUUCGAGUUGAUAAUAGUGCAUAUUUCACGAGCAAUAAGUUUAUGCAAAAUUAUGUCUAAGUUUGUCUAUUUUUUUUUGGUUUAAUGGAGUUAAUUCAAAUGCAAAUUAAGUAGAGUGACAUGGCGAGUUUGGUAGCGGAGGUGUAGCUCCAGCUAAAGUAGUGCUAGACAUACCAUUGGCCACAACCCGGCCAACUAGGUCAAAGAUAGUUCGGUUUGCGGUUCUACAAAGGUCAAAACAUUAUCCGAUGGAGACAAAAAAAUAGUUGUCACGCCAACUUGCUCCAGCUUGCUACCCUCCUUAUCCAAAGCAUCCGGCACCUUAUUUUGUUCCCUGUAGAUGAGGCUGACUCCUGCUGCUUCGAGCUUCUGCAUAAUGGUCCUACACUCAUGAAUGAUGUUAGUGUACAUGUUGUUCCCAUGGGUUAUUUCUUUCAUAAGUUCGAGUGAAUCUGAGCAUUGUGCAGUGGCUUGAUUUUUAGAGACUGCAUCUCCUUUAACCCUUGCAUCAAUACCUUAAAUUCAGCGUCCAGAGGGGUUGUAGAAGGCGAUCGUUGGGUAUAUCCAGCAAUGCAGUCCCUUUUUUGGUCUCUUAUCAUACCACCUAGACCCUCCUGCCCAACUUUGGAUGGAUGGCAGUGUCUGUGUUAAACAUGAAGGACCCUUCUCCAGGAGGCUCCCAUCUUAUAUGGAUGGUCUUAGUCCCCUUGGCACUGUUGUCAUUGAUUUGCACCAUCAUGGAGAAUUUCGUGGCCAUGUUGGUAGCAUGUUUCCAGUUGACAAAGUUCUUUUUACUAUUAAAGAGGUUGUCAUUCUUGGUUAGCCAGAUAGUCCACAACAUCUGAGGUAGGAGGUGGUUCCAAUCAAUGUAGGUAUUGUAAUUGAUACCCUUGAUGUUUUCCCAGCACAUGAAGGCGUGGUUAACAGUAAAAUAGUUCCAGGUAAAGUUCUGAGGGAUAGGGCUAUGGUUAAUGAAGUUGUUCCAGGAAUUGGAGACAUUGGGACAAUGGAUGAAGAUGUGGUCAAUGUCUUCCGAUGAAUGGUUACAAAAGGAGCAAGUGGAAUCAACAGUGAUUCCCAAUGUUUGAAGAUAGUUCUUGUUAGGAAGUCUGCCAUGACUUAAGAGCCACAUAAAGGUUUUAAUUUUAUUAGGGGCAGGCAACUUUCAGAUCCAGGUGAAUCGAAAGUUAGUAUCCGAAGCAUCCUUAUCUAUAAGCUUGUAGGCACUUCUAGUAGAGAAUUUCUCAUUGGGAGUUUUUCUCUAGUACAUGAUAUCCUCUGUAUUUGGGUUUGCAUGAUUGGGGUUAUCAGUAAUGCAGCAAAACAACUGCUGUGGGAGGUUAAAUAGGAUGUUGGAGAGGUUUCAUCCUGUAGAACUAAGCAUAGUAUCCACAGUGAGGUGCUCUUCAUUAUUAGGAAGGGGUCAUUAGAUAAGGUCCCUUAGAGGCUCCAUGUGGGGGAUCCAUCUAUCAGAGAGGAUUCUUACCUUAUUUUCCUUAUUGACAUGCCAACUUAUCCCUUUAGAGCAAUCUUUCUAGCCUUGCUGGAUAUUCUUUCAAGUUCUCGAGACAACCCUAUUAGUCUAGGUGGCAUUGAGAGGUCUUUGGUAUUUGGUAGUGAGGAUUCUGGCCCAAAGGGAGAAGGGAUUGUUGGCUUGCCUCCAUGCUAGGCUUGCAUGAAGUGCCCUAUUCCUAACAGCAGCCUUGUGCAGGCCAAGGCCUCCAUUUUGCUUGGCUUUGAUAAUUGUGUCCUAACUAAGUAUGUGAAUCUUAUUCUUACCCUCUUCAGUACCCCAAAUAAAAUCUCUCUAGAUUUUAUUAAUAGUACUGAUGACCUUGGUAGGAAUUUUGAUAUACUGUUUUAUAUGGGUGGGCAUGCUGCUCAGGGUGGCUUUAGCAAGGACAAUUUUGCCAGUCAUAUUCAGCAUUUUGGUUUUCCAAUCAGCCAACCCACUAGCCAUAUUAUCAAUGAUAGGCUGGAAGUCAGCAUUAGUGGGGCCUUUAUGGAAGAUAGGGAAACCAAGGUACUUGCCAAACUCAAUGCUUCUAGUAGUUGACUUAGCUUUGUUGAUUUUUUGUCCAGAGAGGGCACCAAACUUGGACAGGGUAGUCAGAAUAGUAUGACAAUUGGCAGUUUAGCUCUUACAAACAAGGUUAGGUCAUCAACAAAAAACAAGUGGGAUAAUUUUGGACCUCCAGUGGUGAUGGAUAUGGGAAUCCAAGAUUUGUUGGCUACUUGGCUGUCAAUGUCCCAGCCAGUCUUUCCAUGCACAGGAUGAAAAAGUAAGAGGAUAUGGGGUCCUCUUGUCUUAUGCCCCUGGAGGGAGUAAAGGCAGGGGUGCUGCUGCCAUUGAUAAGGAUGGAAAAGGAGCUGGUAGUGAUACAAGACAUGAUCAACUUAGUGAGGUUAGGAGAGAAGUUUAAUAAGAGAAGGGUGUCAUGGAUAAAGGACUAUUCCAACCUAUUAAAGGCCUUCUCUAGGUCAAUUUUAAGAAUCAUGCUAUGAUGAAUGCUUCUUAUUUUUUUAAAAUGGGAGAUGUAUUCUUGGACAAUGAUGGCAUUGUCAGCAGCUCUUCUGUUACUUAGGAAGCUAGCCUGGGUAGGCCCUAUGAGGGUUCCCAGGAUGGGCUUAAUCCUAUUAACAAUGAUCUUAGUGAUGAGCUUAUAAGAGGUGUUGUAGAGACUGAUAGGCCUAAAAUUCUUAAUAGUGGAAACAUUAGGGCAUUUACGGAUAAGGCAGAUGAGGGUGUGAUUGAUUCCUUCAGGGAUGUUAAAGUCCUCAAAGACUUUGUAACAGAAAUCUUUGGUGCUCUCUCCCAUAAUGUCCUAAUACUUUUGGUAAAAGAGAGGGUGCAGACCAUCAGGUCUAGGGACUUUUAGGGGUUUAAAAUCCUUCAGAGCCAAGAUUAUUUAAGUGUCUCUAAGGGGGGAACCGAUAAUGGUACUCACAGAGGAAGAGAUAAUAUUGGGGGUAUUCCAAGCAUGGUUCAUAUGAAUGGGACUACUAGUGUGCUCAGUAGUGUAGAGGGUGUGGUAGAAGUUGGAGAUGUGGUGAGUGAUCUCCUCCUUAUCAGUGAUGGUUUUUCUAGCCUCAUCCUUGAGGUAGGUUAUCUUGUUCUUCCUUAUUCUAACCAUGGUGGAGGUAUGAAAGAACUUGGUGUUGUCAUCUUCAUGGAUCAGCCAGUUUAUCCUAGAUCUUACCAUCCAGAAAUCCUCUUCUGACUGGAGAAGUCUGUUAUAGUCAGUAAGGAGUUUAUUUUCCAGGUGUUGGAGGUAGGAACUAGUGAGAUAGGGCUUGGACUUUUGAAUACCAUCUAGCCUAGCCAAAAUCCUCUUGAUUUUGUGGAAGAUGUUUCCAAAAGUAAUCCUAUUCCAAGCAGUAACCUCUUGUUGAAAGUUAUGGAUAGAGUUGCUAAGUGUAGUGUUGGAAUUGAAGGUGGUUAUGAUGAUGUUUUGAAGGGUAGCGUGGGAACACCACAUGGGUUCAAACCUAAAGGGUUUGUUAGUAGUGCAAGGGGGGAUUGGUGAGAGUGAGGAGCAUUGGGCAAUGAUCAGACUUUGUUCAAGGCAGAUAGGUGACAGAUGCCUUAGGGAAUUGGUUUAUCCAAGAGGUGUUAGAAGUGCACCUAUCAAGUUUUUCAAGAAUAAGACUUUCUCUGUGCUUGUACCUCUUAUUGCUCCAAGUGUAUUUGCAAUAUUUAAACCCUAGGCCUAACAUACCACAGUUAUCAAGACAAUCUUUAAAAGGGAGGUUCUAGUGUUGCUAAUACUUAAACUCCCAAGCUUUUCUUUAGAUAGAAGGACAUCAUUGAAGUCUCCACCCAUCAGCCAAGGGCUAUUGCGGUUUUGGACAAUGAGCUUGACCUCCCCCCAAAGGAGUUUUCUAUUGUUGAAACUAGGGCUUGCAUAAAUGGCAAAAAAGAGCCAAAAGAGGGGGUUGGUAUCAGAAAUUACCUUGAUGAUGGCAUGAAUGCCCUGAGUAGUGACCGUGAAGUUAUCUAGCUGGAGAUGUUCUGGGUGCCACAUCAGGGCAAUUCCCCCAGUGAAACCAAAAGCUGCAGAUUAAACUUGGGACGCAUAACCAAGGGUCGUAGCGAGGUGCUUGUUCUUAGCCAUUUUAGUCUCAAGGAGAACGAGCAUGGCUUGUCUGUGGAUCUUAAUCAUUGCAUCACACUGGCAUCUAAAUGUGGAGCUAUUGGCUCCUUUUGUGUUCUAGACAAGACGUUCAUUGGUAAGGUUUGGGGUGGGACUUGGGUCACUGGUUCUUUCCCCUUAUCCUGGUGGGAAGGGUCUAGCAUCAUGUUUAUAGGCUCCAAGAGCAUAGCUGGGGGACCCAGGUUACUCUUGGUCCUUAGGGUCAGAGAGAAAAAUUUCUUCUGCAGUGGGAGGUACACCAUAGUAGCUGCACUGUAUGGCUCAUUGAAGUCUCUCAUUAGUGACUUUUCUAAAGCUAUGAUGUCCAAGUUUGGUUCUCCGAAUGUGGCAAGGAAUCUUUCUAGUUCGUCGUUGCUCUGUCUGAGAGGCUCCAAUAGGGUUUGGUUUGUGCUUCCUUGGCCUUCUACCCCUAGUGUUUGGGGCAUUUAUGUAGUCGGCUGCUGGAGCUUCUGAAUAAACGUCAGAGCUUGCAAGCUGGGCAUGUAGGUAUUCAUUGGGAAGAAAGGAAGGGACAUAAAUGCUUGGGUCAUCAGGUUGUUGAGCUCCCUUGGUGGGCUCUGGAUGCCAUCCUUGGAGAAAUGUGCCUUUAACAUUGUCUGUUGCCAGACUUGAUUCCCCAUUCCCAUCACAACUUAGUCCAGGGAUUCUUUGGUUAUUUGCGCUAGGUAGGCUGGGUCUUAGAGGAUUAGAGUGAUGUUCCUCUCCCACACCUUUGCUUGGAACAGGAGAUGGACUCUCUGACGCAGCAAGUUCCAUCUAUGAGGUUGGGACUCUGUCCGGUGGUAGUGGAGUCGAGAUGAAUACCAGGGGUUAAGAGUUGCUUGGUUUCAUAGUUGGCUCCAUUGGAGGGUUUGGAGGACGGUUGGGAUGUGGAGUUGGAAAAGUUGAGGGUAACUUUUCCUGGCCAUUUUUUCAAGGUAGGAUUUGUUGUAAUAAUGGCUUGGGAGUUAAUUGGCGUGACCUCUUCGGUCACUUCAAAGGUUUUGAUCUCAUUAUUGCUUUGAACAAUGGCGUAGUAACUAAUUUGUGGAUUAGCGGGCACUGUUGAGACUGAUGAAGUCUCCGAAGUGGGUUUAGGGUUAAGCCUAUGGGGUGAGGGGGACAGAGCGGCCCCAUCGCAUUUACUCCUAGAGUACUCAGCCAAAGGGAUGAAUUUAUAAGCAGUAAUAAAUUCGGGGGGGGGGGGGAUGUUGGUUAGUUGAGUACCCUGAGCGUGCACGUGUGGAUUGUCAGGGCUAUUUUUAUUGGGUAUUGAAUGGCCCCUAGAGGAGGCUUUCCUUUUGGCCUUCACUUGAUUGGGCCCAUUAUUUGGGUAAACAUUUGGCCCAAUUACUUCAGCUUGGGUUGGGCAUCAUUUUUUUGGGAUGGAGCCUUGAGAGAAAACAUACAUGUGUUCUUGUCAAAUACCUUUACCUGUGGUUGGGCCUUGGUCUGGCCCUGUGAUUUCGGGUCUGUGCUUCUCUUCUCAGAUGGCUGACGCUUUGGGAACGAGACUACCUGUCAUUCGAAUGAUGGAUGUUGCUGUGAGGCGCGCUUGGGAUGGAAGGGUUUCUGGUGGGGGUAUUGAGGAUGAUUGGCACCCCCUAUGAGUGUGACCUAGCAAGCCGCAGCUGGUACAUAGUAUGUUUUUCCCUUUAUAGAUCACUGGCUAUUUAUGAGCACCAAUGACUACAUGGGAUUUGACUGGGAGUUCCAGAGGCACUUGUACGCAAAUGCGUUCAUAUCUUCCCCGCAGAGUGGUGGAGGUGUAUGUGUCGAUCUUCAGUAGGGUACCCAAUUUUCUGCUGACUUUUUUGAGAUUUAUUGAUCAUAGAAUUCCGUUGGCAACUGUGGUAGCCUUGCCCAAAUUACAGUGUGGGUUAAAGAGACUUCUUAGGGUACAAAGUUGGGCUCCUAUCUGCGGAUUGUUAGGAAGCUCCCCGUUACAAACCAAGAACCUUCAUUCAGAACCUUCUCGAGGCUGUCAUUCAAAGUGAAUUUUGCAACAACGAAGUCGUUCCCUAGAUCGAUUAAUAUUAAAUUUUCCUUGAGUUUCCACAGAUUAGUAAGUUUGUUCCUCAGGUAAGCAUGGCCUAGUAUCUUUAGGAACAACUUGAUGAUUACGGAGAGUCUCCAAGGUUGAUAGAUCCUUUGUUUCUCCGAAUCUGAAAGCUCAAUCGUAUUUUGUUCCGCAUCUUGUGGGUCGAGCAGGGUUCCGUCGUAGAUGCUGUCGGAUCUGUUGAUUUCCUUUUCCUUGUUGAGGAGGGCGUCUUUAAAGGUGUUAGGCGUUAUUUCUACUUCCAUAGAAUCUUGGAGGUCUGGGGGUUUAGGCGGAAUUACGGUAGUCACCAGCGGCUUGUUGGUUUCGCUCAUGGGGGGCGGCUAGAGAGUAAACAGAGCAUAUGUCCCACCACUAUGUCGGCAAAGUUCAGAGGGUCUAAGUUUGUCUGUUAUCAUCUCUUUUAUGUUCUACUAGUAUUAUAUCUUUUUGUAGUUACUUCGGGAAUUUGUUAAUUUCUCCGCACUUUGUGUUGCAAUUAUAUGCUGUUUAGAUUGCAAGUUAUAAUUUGAAUUAAAUGAGUAUGAUUACAUUCAAUGUUUGUGAUGGAAAAUUGGUUUGCUACAUAUUGCCAUUUCCAUCCCAAAUUAUUACUUGAAGUUGACGCCUAAAUUUUGCCCUCUGCGACUAAGUUUAAUUUUGAGUUUCUUGAAUUUUAAAGAAAAUCACAACAAAUAUUUUAUCUGAAUUAAAAUCUUUGUGUCAUUUUAAGUAGCAAUUAUGUAUCGUCAUAUUCAAUUAUAUGAAAAUUUUAUAAUUGUGUCACUUAAAUAUUUAUUUCACAAAAUAUUAAAUUUAAUUAGGGAUUACUUUUGAAACUAAAUUCAAAUGAUUAAGAUCUUGAUUUAAAUAUGAUUUAUUCUGAAAAUAAUUUAUUUGGAUAAAUACUUGUUUUAUUUUAUUAAAUCAAGAAGUUCGAGAUUAAACAGUUGAUAAUUCGCAUGGGAUCUUGAUUCAAUUUAGCCAAUUUAUUGAAUUGGGCCAUAAUUGAAAUUAAUUAGACCACAACAAUUGCAAGGCAAUUGACUAAUUAAUUCUCAAUUGGCCAAGAUUGAAUGAAAUGGGUCAAAUCUCAUGUCAGGUCGGCUAUUUUGUAAAGUAAUAAUUCCAGUCCUAAUUUAUUCUAACCUACCCAGGUCCAAUACUAAAUCACCAACCCUUGUUCUUCUUUUUAUCAACCCAACGACACCGGCCCAAUCCUCUCAUCUCUUCCCUUAACCUAACAAACACCAACAAAUACCAACAAUUCCAAAUCGCAAAUAAUAUUCAUUGAUAACCCACAACAAUUUUGACCCAAACUGAAACAGCUCCAAAUCUGUCAACCUCAACCCGAAAAUUAUAAAAUCGAUCUGACCCGACCCUUCUCCAUACGCAUCCCACUCAAAUUCAUACAAGAAUAACCUCAAAUAUUCUAGAAUAUUCAAAUCCCUAAAAAUCUGGAUUAAUCCAUACGAUUUCGUACAUAAUUGGUAAAAUUUCAUUGGUCCUUAGGGGAAUCAUUCACUUCCCCAAUUUUUAUUGGUGCUUUUCUGAAAUCUGUUGGGGGAAUCCAAAAUUGAGACAUUUUCAAAAGUCCUAAGAGGACCCCUAUUCAUCUCCUGUAUAAGAAUCCUUUCGUUCUUUGAGGAGGGGGAUUUUUCUCUCUUCUUCCCUUCUGAGUUUGAAAUUUUAGAGGCAAAGGGGGUUCAAAAGUCUAGGGUGGAAAUUGUGGGGAAAAUUUUGGGAGGGUGGAAAAUUCUGGAAACAAAAAGCAGAAGAAAUUUUUUUAGAGUACAUCAACUUCUUUAGUAGAAUUAUCGCUUUCCUUCUUCUUUGAAAGCUAAUCGUUUAAUCGGAAGCCUUGAAGGUUCGUCGACUGAUUGCGAUUUUUGAGUUGAUGACGAUGUCAUUUUCCAGUAGUUGAUCCAAAGCUAGUUCGUUGUCCCAUUUUGUUGCUCCCGAAUAGGUAAUAUCCCACUUCGUUUAAGAUUUCUAUUAUUUCUCCUUCAUCUCCCCAUUCUAUAGCCGUAUUAGCAUUUUAUUAUUGAUAAUAUUGAUAUGGUAUGCUGGGAUUAGAUGCUGUAAAGGUCUUGUAAAACCAUAGGGUAUGUUUGCUGAAGAUAAUGCUUGUCAUGAGAUUACGGUCGAUGUCAAACUGUCAGUUUAGUCGUUAAAACUUUCGGCUUGAGUCUCAUUUGCUUGUCUUGAUUUUAUAAUCUGUUAUUUGAUUUUAACAUCGCUAAUUAGCUGCCGAUUUGCUGUUGUGUAUUGGUAUUGCUUGUGAGUUUAAUUCACUGAUUUCCAUCGAGAUUCCUGUUUUAAUCUUCACAUCACUAGCUAGUUGAAUGUUAUAUUGUUUGAGUCAUUCUCUACUUGGCUAGUAACGUCACUAGCAGGACUACUUUACGAGUUCCUUUGGCCUCUCAAAUGUCAAAGAGAAUGACCAAAUGUGUCCAAUAAUGAAAGGUUUCCAGGAAAUCUUAGGAUCCCUCGACGACCAUUUUAUUUAAGUCCGUUGAAAUGAGGAGGAGGACAAAAGAUACUAUAUCCCACUGGCUCCUUUCUUCAUCUUAUUGGUUGCAUUCCUUUUUUAGUGAAAUUUUGAAGUUUGAUUUUCUGUUUUGGGUUCGUUUCAAGACAGUAUGUCUGUCUGUUUAAAGCCCAUGGAGAAUAUGAUGGCUUUGUUGACUUCAUUUGAGUUCUAGUGUUGGAAGAAAACUUAUGAUUUCUCUGUUAGAGGAGACCUUUGUCACUCUUUUGUUUUGGUUGUCCUAUAUCUUGUACUGGAAAUAUUUUCUUUUAUAUAUAAGUGAUCUUUCUUAGUGAUAAAGUAUUUGCCUGGACAUUAUUAAGGAUUCUUUACCUACUGCAUUCUGAUUGAGAAAGAGCUUUAGUGAUACACUCUUCUUCGUGCCAUUUUUUUUACUCAUGGAUUGAUAUUCUUAUUGCCUGCAAAUGUUAACAUUUUUAUUUCAUAAUUUAUCUAUGAGUGUAAAAUUCUUAAACGUGUAUUAAUUCCUUCAUUUCCUUUUCUUUUGCAUGAACCCGUUUGGGAGUCCAAAUGAACUUUUUCCCCUUGCAUUACGUGAUGGGCCUUUGAGGCCCACUCUCUUUUUAGAAGACUUUCAAAAAAACUAAAAAGGCAACUUCGUAGCAUAUGGAUGCAAAGAGUCGAAAGAAGGAAAAUGGGUUAAAGUCCUAUUCUUGAAGCGACGACGAAACCCAAGCCUCGUUUUUGUUUAUUUAUUUGUUGUCGUUAUUUAUUUAUUGUUAUCGUUUUUAUUGUUUAUCUAUUUCUUUCUUUCAUUAUUCAUUCAUUUGGGCCUCGAAGCCAACGUUUUAAAUUUAAUACAGGUAGAGCGGAUUUUGGGCCAAAAAGACCCAAAAACUAGAUUAGGACAGAUGGAGUGGGUCGAAAGCCCAAUUACACUAGGACAGGUCUCGAUUUGGGUCCAAUGGCCCAAAUCCUUUACUUUCUCCUUCCUUUCUCCUUUUAUGUGUUUAUUUGUAUAUCAGUUUUAUUUAGACUUAGUUAAAAUCUCUACUAAGUCGCCUAAAUCUAUUUUACAAAAGUUCUUUCUAAAAAAUCAAUCACUUUUCAAUAAAUUAAAUUUUUAGAAUUUAAUCAAAAGAUGUUUUCAAACAGUCUGGAUAACCGCAAGUUAGCAGAUGUUUUAGGUGCCUAACACCUUCCUAAAAUGUUAAUAGGAACCGCUUACUCAGAAUCCUCAAAAUUUGAACGAUUUUUCUGGUUUGGAUCGUUCAAAGUAUUUUAUAAAGGUUUCUUAAUUCCUUCUCAAAAUUAAGUGGCGACUCUUCUCAAAAGUCAAAAUUUUUGUAAAAUAGAAAUGACGACUCCACUGGAGACAUUUUAACGAGGUUCUAACCAAAUGUUUGAUUUCAUCUUUUGAUUAAUUAUUUAUGUGUUUAUAUGUUUUGAUUUUGUGGUAUUUAAUUAUUGCAUCUCAUAGCAUAUUCCUUGCAUUUAUUUAUAAAUUAUUUUGGGGUUUCGUGGAUGUCCCGGCCCCUAUUGUUCAAUUCCAAAUGAUGUGUUGGAAAUACAACGGUUUAUUAGCACGUAAGUCGUCUGAUGGUUGUUUGUAUUUCCAAACCCAAGUCGUCCGCUUGGAAACCUGUGUUCAAACCCACUCUAUACACCUAGAAUAGAGCGAAACCAAAACCCUAUUUUAGGGAUAAGCCUAGGAUGACCCAAUACCCGAGGGGAGUAUUGGGCCCACUAGAAAACUUGUCUUGCAUCUAUUGACCCCGAAUUAAUUACAGACAAAUCAUUUUUAUGUGUUAAAGAAAUAUAUGUUUGUUUAAUCCAAUCCAUUAUUCUUUGGGAGUUCGGGAGAAGACUUCUUUUAAUUACUUUUGUAUAAGGAUGCCUCAAUCGUACACUGAUUGAUGAAGGAAUUGAAACAAGUCAAGCAAGAAAUUGAUCGAUUUGGACAGUUGCAUGGCAUCUAUGGCACAUUUAUAUGGCAAUCGCUUGAUCAUUAAUGGAUGUUAUUUUCUUCUCAUGUUAUUUUUCCCUUCCCUAAAGAUUGUAUCCCUUUUGUGCAACUUUUGUAGGCAUUUAUGACAUUUAUGUAUAUCUAUGAAGGUUUUAGGGGAAUAAUGGAUUGGCUUUAAAAAGGCAUAUAUUUUCUUUAAAAUUCGUGAGGCCUAAACCCUUGGCUCAAAAGGAUCACCCAAUUAGGAUGCACAUUUAUUACAAUAUACUUGUGUAAUAUUACUGUUUAUGUGCUUAUACGUGUUAUGUUGAUUCGAAUCAAAGGCGAAUUGAUCCAAUCCCAUUUUCCAUAUAACAUCUCUAGGCAGAAAUAUACCCCGCUAUACAAAAGUCUGACCAAACGUACUCCAAGUCUCCCAAGUUUCUCAGAAAAGUCUACAGUCAUUCUUAAAACUUCAGAAAUGAUCGCUACCAUUUUCGAAAAGUUGAUUUUAGAAUCAGAAAAAGCCGUUAUACUUUCGAACUACGUAGGGCCUGAUUUCUCCUCCGUGAGAUACGUAGGCAGCCUUUCGGCUCGACCCCUAUCUUCAAAAACUCUGUUUUCCUCCACUUUCUUGAAAGAAGAAGAAGAGUUGAACCUUCCCGACAAAUUCCACCUAUCCACAUCAUUGAGCAAAAUCCUGUUCAUUGAAAUUCUCGAGUCAUUAUUACUUCACGGAUCAAUUCGCAUGAGAUGAGAAUCAACUCUAUGUGUUUACUUCCUACUUUAUCAUCUUACUUUACUUAUUACUAACAGAAUCUAACACGUCAGCGUUUGAGUUGUUUUUACUUUACAGGUAGUAGAAACUACUCUGUGUUGGCACAAAAUGACCCUACUUCGCUAGAUCAAAGUGAAUAAGAGAUCCUCUCUUGACUAUAGCUUUGUUACAUGAAAAGAAAAAUGACUAGUAGUAAAACUGGACUCUACCAAUCAUUUUUCAAAACCUGUAAGCGAUGGUCUCGAGGAUGGAAUAAAGAAAAAUGUAAGGGAAGAAUUUUUCGAGACAACCGGGAUCAUGGAAGAUUAAUUGGAGGAAACAUUGUUGAAUUGGACCUCCACUCCGCUCAUGACUCAUCGUCCGUCGUAUAACAACUCAAAAUCUGUCACUGUCAUGUCAUGUCAAGAAACAAGAUAAUGAUAGCCCUAGAACAGAAACAGAAGAGUCAAAGAGUUCGAGAAUCAAAGAAGCCUGAUCUAGAGGAAACCGAGCGACGACUAAGUGAAUUGGACAUUUUAUCCUUUGUUCUAUCAAAACAAACGUAAUGAAAGCGUCAUGUCAUCCGCAGAGUGUUUAUUUCUAGUAGGAUAGAUAAGAAUAUCUAGGGCCAUUUAACCCUGAAGAUGAGUUUAUGUAUGAACUAUGUUUGACCUAGAUUCCCAAGAAAGGGAUACGUAGGCGGCCUAUGUCGGCUUCGAUCAACCCCUUAGGAAAAUUUAUCCUUUCCUUUCGUGUAUGAACUACGUUAUAACCUGAAUUCUCAAAAAGGGAUACGUAGGCGGCCUAUGUCAGCUUUGAUCAACCCAAUAAAAUUUUAUAUAUAUCCCUAGUAUAGUCUUAAACUACGUUUGACCUGAUUCCUGCUUCAACGGGAUACGUAGGCGCCCCAACAACUCGGUCAUAUAACCCCAGGAAAUGAAUUGGGGCAGAAUUUUCGAGAAGGAAUCUCAAAGAUUCACAAGAGGAAAACCAUCAUCUAACAAAGAGAACGAAGACAAACAAAGACUUCGGAUCCUCUCGAGUUAAUAUCAUCUCAAACAACUUUAAAUUGGGGAAGAAAUUUUGAGGAAGGCCUCAAAAUUUCCACCAAACACUGGAAUAUAUUUCAAAUUCUCCAGCACCAGAGGUCAAAGUCAAACUUUUGAAGUCACCGUCGAGUAUAGUCAAAACCAAGAGGAAGGUGUUUGUUGGGAUUGUACAUGACAUGACUGGCAAAGAUUUUCUAAUACUUUUUAGAAAUUUUUGAAACUAUUUUCUAAAAUUACUACUACUUGCAAAAAAUCUUGACAAAUCUUUUACUUGGUGAUUGCCUAGACAUCUAUUGGAGCAAGGAGCUGAGUGGAGGUACAAACAUGACAGAAUACCCGAAAGAUGGCGAGGAUCAAACCAAGGAUCGAAGGAGGUCAACACGGAGUAGUUUCACUCAAACUAAUCAUUUUUCUGUGGAUGCAGGGAUCAAUACACAAAAUGAGAGUCUCUUUCAAAAAUUCCCAAGCAAGUUGGGAGCCACACCCGAGCAUUAAUACUCCAGAAUGGUAUUUUUUUGGUAGCCCUAAAAAUAAGUUUAAUACCCAUUUAUCGAGGACCUUUUGAAUUGUCUAUCUCAUUUCUUAAGAUCAUGAAGGACAAACAAAGGCGUCUUAUCUUCUUUAUAAAUAUUGCUUUUAGAAUUUUUCUAAAAAAAUAGUCGCUAGUAAAAGCGACUUUGUGUCUACUAAAUAAUUACCUUGAGCAUAGGUACAUUUAAGGGAGUUGGCACAAUAAAUAUAAUAAUCAAAUGAUCACUCAAUACAAGGAAGAGCAGAGAGUCACCCUCAAAAUUCGCCUUGAAGCGAAGCAACAGUAUUUGAGUACAUGUAGAAAGCAAGAUGUAGACAAAUGAACUCAGGUGAAACUGUUUUCAAAUUACCAGAAAAACCAUUGCAUAUCACUGUCGAGAGGGUCAUUCAUAUCAUCGCCGAGAGGGCAAUUUCAUAUCAUUGCAAAGAGGGCCAUUUCAUAUUAUUUCCAAGAGGGCCAUUUCAUGCCAUUGUCUAGAGGUCCAUUUCAUAUCAUUGCCGAGAGAGUCAUUUCGUAUCAUUGCCAAGAGGGUCAUUUAUGUUAUUGCCGAGAGGUCCAUUUCAUAUCAUUGUCGAGAGGGUCAUUGUAUUUAAUAUCUAUUGACACGCAAGAUAUAAACGUUGGCGUCGAGGAAGUCGUCAGCAUUUCAUAUCUGUUGACACGCAAGACAUAAAUGCUGGCGUCGAGGAUGUCAUCAGCAUUUCAUAUCUGUUGACACGCAAGACAUAAACAUUGGCAUCGAGGAUAUCAUCAACAUUAAAUAUCUGUUGACACGCGAGACAUAAACGUUGGCGUCAAGGAUAUCAUUAGCAAUUCAUAUCUAUUGAAUGCAAGACAUAAAUUAUGGCGUCGAGGAUAUUACCAGCAUUUAAUAUCAGUUGACACAGGAGACAUAAACGCUAGCAUCGAGGAUAUCUCAUCAUUUUAUGAAUUAGCAUCUGAAUGCAUCAAGAGCACACGAUUUGAAGGAAUGUCUUAAAGUCGGUAUUUAAAGAUGGAUGAUAUAUGAGAUUUCCUAGAAUUUGACAAUUUGAGGGUCAUCUAUAAGUCAUAUUAUUUGAAAUAGGAUAGUGUGCAAGGUUACCUAUGAGUUGAUAGCCUAUAGGUCAUCCGUAAGCCACAACAACAUCCUAACCAAAUAGUGUGCAAGAUCACCCAAAAAUUGAUAGUCUGGAGGUUAUCCAUAAGUCGAAACUAAAUCCUUAUCGGAGAAUAUGCGAGAUUAUCAAAUUGAUACGUCCAAGGGUUCUCUAUAAGCCAUCUCAUAUCUAAGAUUGAUUAUGUGCAAGAUUACCCAAGGACUAGCAAUUUGACUGAUAUCUAUAAGUCAUAUUGUAUCCAAGGUCGGAUGAUGUGUAGGAACACCUAAAAGCUAGCGAUUGAAGGGAUAUCUGUAAGACAUCUCUUAUCCAAGGUCGGAUAAUAUGCAGGAUUACCUAAAAGCUAGCAAUUCAAAGGAUAUCAGUAAGUCGACUCGUAUCCAACAUCAAAUAAUGCACAAGAUUAUCCAAAGAUUGAUAACUUAUGGGAAAUUUAUAAAUCGAUCAUCGGCUAUAACCGGAGAGUUUAUCAUUCCACAUACAAUAAGUGAUAUAGGUAACCAAAAGGGUUUCCACACCAGCACAAGAUUACAUGGUUGUAGAGACCGUUCUACAUAAAGUAUCUCCGGUGUCCAAAAGGGCCAACCCACUUUAAAAACAUAUUCAACCGACAAAUGUCAUAAUUAUACAACAACCAAGAGGGUUGUUAUGUCUGUUGUUGCCAGUUAUUUCAUUCCAAAUAGGUACAUGAAGAGAUGACUUUGCUUUUCAGGCCACAACUCACAUGGAGAUAUGGUAAAAGACUACAUACCUCUUUCGUGAAUUAUGUUUAACACUAACACUUUUUGCUUGAAGCAUUGUCGAGAGAAUCCGAGAGGAUAAAAAUCUCAAAUCAAAACCACAGGUGUGGACUACUUCAGAUAGGACGCAGGACAAUGUGGAACUCUUUCUUAGCAGCAAAAUGGGAUAUAGUCUAGAGAGGGACGUCAAACUCUCUGGACGCGAGCUAAAGAAUGAUCACCACCACCAUCUAACCACACCCCUAUUAAAAGGCAUGCGGGUAUUCCAGGAUAUUCUUGUUUCAACUUCGCCUUCGAGAUACUUCUAAACUUAUAUCGAGGGUAGUCUUCUCUUUCUUUCAAAUUUGAGUGAUAGGACACCUAGAGUUUUGGAAAUUAUGUCCAGGUAAGUUUUUUCCUAUGGAUGUAAAGGAUCCCACAUUCAUGGUUAAGAGGUUACAAGCUUCUUUUCCGUAACUCAUUAACUUGUCACUCAUCCCGAGCCAAAGAUCAUCUGAAAUUGAAGACAAUCUUUUCUACCGAUCAAGUUGAACUACAAGCAGUCUAAUUCCCUGAAAUCUUGAGGAUAUGUAGGCCGGGAUCUGUGUAGAAAACUCAACUGCACUCCAACCUCCCACAAAUCCCUUUAUUCCCCAACUUCUCCAUUUAACCAAAAACUCUAAAACCAUGAUAGUUGGUGAAUUUUCUUGAAAUCGUGCUUAAAAUCAAGCUUUAUGAACUACAAGUGGCCUGAAUUCUCAUGUAACCUGAGAUAUGUAGGAAACCUGAUACUGAAGUUCGGCCAUAACUUCAUGAAACUCGUGUGGAAGACCAACCUCACUUAGAUAUGAAUUUGUGGUCGGACAAAAAUUAGAAACGUCAACUUCCCUAUGCCUAGGAUUACUUGCAUCCAUCCUACUCAAAGGGAGGGGGUAGUUGUUGAAACCUAAUUUUUGCCCUCCGCGACUAAGUUUAAUUUUGAGUUUCUUGAAUUUUAAAGAAAAUCACAACAAAUAUUUUAUCUGAAUUAAAAUCUUUGUGUCAUUUUAAGAAGCAAUUAUAUAUCGUCAUAUUCAAUUAUACGAAAAUUUUAUAAUUGUGUCACUUAAAUAUUUAUUUCACAAAAUAUUAAAUUUUAAUUAGGGAUUACUUUUGAAACUAAAUUAAAAUGAUUAAGAUCUUGAUUUAAAUAUGAUUUACUCUAAAAAUAAUUUAUUUGGAUAAAUACUUAUUUUAUUUUAUUAAAUGAAGAAGUUCAGGAUUAAACAGUUGAUAAUUCGCAUGAGAUCUUGAUUCAAUUUAGCCAAUUUAUUGAAUUGGGCCAUAAUUGAAAUUAAUUAGGCCACAACCGCAAGGCAAUUGACUAGAUAAUUCUCAAUUGGCCAAGAUUGGAUGAAAUGGGUCAAAUCUCAUGUCAGGUCGGCUAUUUUGUAAAGUAAUAAUUCCAAUCCUAAUUUAUUCUAACCUACCAGGGUCCAAUACUAAAUCACCAACCCUUGUUCUUUUUUUUUAUCAGCCCAAUGACACCAGCCCCACAUAUCUUAACCCGGCCCAAUCCUCUCAUCUCUUACCUUAACCUAACAAACAACAGCAAAUACCAAUAAUUCCAAAUCACAAACAAUAUUCAUUGAUAACCCACAACAAUUUUAACCCGAAUAGAAACAGCUCCAAAUCCGUGAACCUCAACCGAAAAAUUAUGAAAUCGAUCUGACCCGACCCUUCUCCAUACGCAUCCCACUCAAAUUCAUACGAGAAUAACCUCAAAUAUUCUAGAAUAUGAUGAGUUGGCUUCUCCCAACGUUCAAUUCACUAAAAAUUUAGAUUAAUCCGUACGAUUUCGUACAUAUUUGGUAAAAUUUCAUUGGUCCUUAGGGGAAUCAUCCACUUUCCCAAUAUCUAUUGGUUGUUUUUCAGAAAUAUAUUGGGGGAAUCCAAAAUUAGAACAUUUUCAAAAGUCCCAAGAGGACCACUAUUCAUCUCCUAUACAAGAAGCCUUUCGUUCUUUGAGGAGGGGGUUUUUCUCUCUUCUUCCCUUUUAAGUUGGAAAAUUUAGAGGCAAAGGGGGUUCGAAAGUCUAGAGUGGAAAUUGUGGGGAAAAUUUUGGGAGGGUGGAAAAUUCUGAAAAAAAAAGAGCAGAAGAAAUUUUUUAGAGUACAUCAGCUUCUUUAGUAGAAUUAUCGCUUUUCUUCUUCUUUGCAAGCUGAUCGUUUAAUCGGAAGCCUUGAAGGUUCGUCGACUGAUUGCGAUUUCCGAGUUGAUGACGAUGUCAUUUUUCGGUGGUUGCGAAUCCAACGCUAGUUCGUUGUCCCAUUUUGUUGCUCCCAAAUAGGUAAUAUCCCACUCCGUUUAAGCUUUCAAUUAUUUCUCCUUUAUCUCCCCAUUCUGUAGUCGUAUUAGCAUUUUAUGAUUGAUAUUAUUGAUAUGGUAUGCUGGGAUUAGCUGCUGUAGAGAUAUUGUAAGACCAUAGGGUAUGUUUGCUGAAGAUAAUGCUUGUCAUGAGAUUACGGUUGAUGUCAAACUGACAUUUUAGUCGUUAAAGCUUUCGGCUUGAGUCUCAUUUGCUUGUCUUGAUUUUAUAAUCUGUUAUUUGAUUUUAACAUCGCUAAUUAGCUGUCGAUUUGCUGUUGUGUAUUGAUAUUGCUUGUGAGUUUAAUUCACGGAUUUCCAUCGAGAUUCCUGUUUUAAUCUUCACAUCAUUGGCUAGUUGAAUGUUAUGUUGUUUGAGUCGUUCUCUACUUAGCUAGUAACGUCACUAGCAGGACUACUUUGUGAGUUCCUUUGGCCUCUUAAAUGUCAAAGAGAAUGACCAAAUGUGUCCAAUAAUGAAGGGUUUCCAGGAAAUCCUAGGAUCCCUCGACAACCAUUUCAUUUGAGUCAAUCGAAAUGUGGAGGAGGACAAAAGAUACUAUAUCCCACUGGCUUCUCUCUUCAUCUUAUCGGUUGCAUCCUUUUUUUUAGUGAAAUUUUGAAGUUUGAUUUUCUAUUUUGGGUUCGUUUUAAGACAGUAUGUCUAUCUGUUUGAAGCCCAUGGAGAAUAUGAUGGCUUUGUUGAAGAAUGUUAUACAAAUUCGGUCUAUUUUGAUACGUUUGAUGUCAAAAAUCAAUGAAGUUUAUAGCUUUUUCCCUUUAAAUUUGAUUCGUAUUACUUUCUACUUGGGUGUCGAUUUCACGGUCUAGAACUACUAAAGUUUUGCAAGACCAUGUUCGCUAGCUAGUAGCGAUUGCCCUCGUCUCUAAAGACUGUCAUAGACCGAAGAACCAGUUUUUGUGCCUUGAUGUUCACGAUGUUUAAACAGUAGAUUUCGCAAGACCGUUAUAGUGAUUAUUUUUUCAAAUAGUAGAUUUUUUUGGGGUAUCUUAUCAUCAUCGGGACCUUCAAUAGUUUGGAAUCUCUUUGGAUAAAAAAUGGGGGGUUGAGGGCUGAUUGUUUCAUGUUCAUAUUGUUGAAAGGUUUUAUUUGUUUGUAUUUUUUUAAAGGCCAAAUCUCAGUAUAUAUUGCAAAGCUUUCACUCAUUUUUGUUCACUGUCUUUGAGCACGAUGUUCCGAAUUGAUAUUUCAUUUUUUAUUGUUUUGAAACCACUGUCAUAUGAAAUUUUGUUAAUAUUUAGCAUGUUGAUUUGCUUUUCCUCUACUCUAUCAUUCGAUUUCUUGGUUAGGUCAUACAGUUAGAUUUAGGCUCGAAAUUCUUUGAAAUAGCUUGUCAAUUACUUUCUUCUGUCUAUGAAAACAUGAUAUUAUCCCAUUUUAAUAUGAUUUGUUUUUUUUUAAGUGUUUGAAUUCAUUUGAGUUCUGGUGUUGGAAGAAAACUUACAGUUUCUCUAUUAGAGGAGACCUUGUCACACCCCUUUUUUACGUACUCCAAAAAAGAUUUAUGUUUUUAAGUUCGAAAGAGUUUUAUUAUUUAAGUGACAAGAAAUGAAAAUUUGUUUUGGAAAAGGAUUAUUAACAUUUUUUAUUCAGAGUCGCCACUUGGCAUAAUCCGGUGUGCCAAGUCACCAUUAGAAAAUCCUUUCCAAAACCAUUCGACUCUUUAAACUGGUUUGCGAACAGAGAUUUCGGCUAAGGAAUUCUGUUGACCGAGGGGAAGGUGUUAGGCACCUCUCGAUCCCGUGGUUCAACGACGGUCGCUUGGUAGAGUGUAUCAACUAUUUUUGGAACUAAGAAAUGUAUAAACCGCACAAAAGCAUGGAAAAUAAUCAAACAAAACAAAACAAUCCAAAAUGUAAAGUCCAGUCCAAUUAUUACAAUCCGAGCUAAAAAAGGACUGAAAGUAAACCUACGCUAAUCCUAAAAUAAUGCUCUACUCGACGCCUCGGGCCUUCACCACGAACGUCCUCCGGGUACAUGAUACCUCGGAGCAUUCCCCGGUAAAUAAAUAUAUACAGAUACUUCGGAGCAUUCCCCGGUGAAUAAAUAUAUACAGAUACUUCGGGGCAUUCCCCGACCAAAUUAUACAAUUGAUUCAAAAAGUGCUAAAAUCAAACCAUUCAAUCAAAUUUCAGACACUCAAUCAACCCACAAUCUCUAGAUUUGCCUACCCGACCUACGUCUUGCCUAUUCCAAUCAGCGUAUCUUGAUACUACCAAAUUCAAUUAAUGUUUAUUUCAAGUCAAACAACUAACGAAUCAAACUAAUCAAAGUUCACUAAUUAUAUCAAGUUUUCAAUUCUCGCCCACUUAUUCCCACAUGAAUUCAACUCUUUCAAUUCCUUCAUUCACGUAAAUCAAUCAAUCAAUAUCAACCACAGUAAUCGCGAUUUCUCAAACACAAUAUCAAAACAUAUCACCAUGUCACAAUCAUCAACCAAACACAAUAUUCACUCCAACACAUCAAGUAUAAUAAACAUGAAAUAAAAGAGGGGAAUAGAAUUGGACCUCGAUUCGUAUCUUUCAAAUUCCAAUAUUAAUCGAGUGAAAAAAAAAUGAAGACCGCGUCCGAAUAUCCCGAACAGAACCUCAAUUUUUCAAACCAAAAAUUGUUUGACAGCUCAAUUGAUGACUUUAUUCCGAAAAACUUGCGAUCAAUCGGAGCUCGCGAACCAAAGGAACCUCAACGAUGAUCAAAUCUCAACUUUGAUAUACUUCCCUUCUGUUUCUAGUCACAAAUCUAAACCAGAACGACAACCACGCCUUUUUCUUCUUGUUCUCACUGUUUUUACUCUCUCCCUCUCAAUCUCUUCUCCCUUUUGAUUCUCUCUAAUCACCUCUCUAUUUUUUUUCUGUGCAGUGUGUGAAGCGUUUCUCCAAUCAAACCCGUAUGUGUUGAUGGGUGGUGAGAGAUUCGUGAGUGGACUAUGUUCAAUCUAUGGUGAAGACCUCUUUUUUUUCUUUAGAGUAUUCUGUGUGUUGUUCAAUGGAAAAAAAAAUGGAGAUCGACUCUUGUUCGUGUGUCCCUCUGAAGAAGAAAAAGCCCCACCCCCUCCAGUCAGUGAGUGUGUGUAUACCUCUCUUCUCUAAAUAAAAAAUUCCAAAUUCCUCGUAUAUCCCUGUGGGUCCGUCUGUAUAUCCAUCCCUGUGAGAAUAUAUAUGAAUGUUUAUGAAUUGGAAAAAAAAUGGAGUCCUCCCCCCAUGUUCCCACCGAAUUCCUUUUGUAGGGGCAGAUUUUUUUGUGUAUAUCCUCCUCUUUGUUGCUAUUCUAGUGGAGUGUAUAUGUGUUCUAAACGUGAGGAGAGGGGAGCUGGAUAGGGGUGAGGUGGAGUAGGGGGUAGGGUAGGUGGGGUAGAGUGAUGUGUUUUAUUUUAAUUGGUUAGAUUGUUAGGAUGUGUUGUCAAUUUUUUGUUGGGUGGGUUUUUAGAAUAUAAGGAUAAGACAAAAUUAGUUAGGGGGUUGUUAUUUUUGUCAUUUGUGGAGGGAUUAUCACACGGGUGAGGGUACACGGUAGGAUAAAGUAAACAAUAGGUAAAAACGAUAUCGGAGAGGGACGAAAUUAGGUGUCUACAUCAUGCCCCCUUUGAAUGUAAACACGAAGUGUUUUCAGGCAAAGAAGUAGACAGCGAGACCAAAUUUUGACCCGACCAUUAUUCAAAGAAAGAAAUAGAAGGAAGAAGGACAAUCGGGUCUUGACUUAAUACAUCCCACCUACUCACAUUAUGAGAGGAUCGAGUGACAAGUAUCUCAACUUUUAGAAAGAGAUGGACUAUACCGAGUUGGAGAGUCGAGUGAGGUUCCAUCGAGGUUCCGGUCCGCGGCUCUAUUAUUACAUCAAAAAUGAAAAUUACAAGUUAAAACAUAAAUGAAAUUACAAAAAUCCUAUCUAUACAACUUCUGUUGGCUCUUGACUUGACUUUUAUCACAUAUUCUUCAGGCGGGCUCCUGAUUUGCAAUUUUUUUUAACCUGUUGCUUGGCUUUCAAUUGCUUCGUUUUGUGGUUUGACCUUUGUUUCUUCACCCUAUUCUCCAGGCGGGCUCCUGACUUGCUAUUCCAUCACUUUGUUGCUUGACUUUUCAUUUUCUUCACUCUGUUCUCCCGGCGGGCUUCGGACUUGCUAUUUCAUCACCCUGUUCUUCAGCCGGGUUCCUGACUUGUUAUUUCAUCACCCUGUUCUUCAGGCGGGCUCCUGACUUGCUAUUUCAUCACCCUGUUCUUUAGGCGGACUCCUGAAACCCAAAAUUAAAACUAGAACAAAAAUAUCCCAAACAAAAAUUAUAGUAAAGUAGUAUUUCAUUUUUGAAAGUGUUGUCCCAUUUUCCAGGAGGGUCCUGAACAGAAAGUAAAAUCCCAUUUUUCAGGAGGGUCCUGAACAGAAAGUAAAAAUCCCAUUUUCAGGAGGGUCCUGAACAGAAAGUAAAAUCCCAUUUUUCAGGAGGGUCCUGAACAGAAAGUAAAAUCUCAUUUUUCAGGAGGGUCCUGAACAUAAAGUAAAAUCCCAUUUUUCAGGAGGGUCCUAAACUGAAAGUAAAUUCCCAUUUUUUAGGAGGGUCCUGAGCAGAAAGUAAAAUCUCACGGAUGUGCAUUUCCAAUGGUAGCUGAAUUAAGUGAAGCGAAUUUGCCCCUAUUUCAACAAAGAAAAUUUGUCAGUUAAAAACUUAGUGGUGGCUUGCAUCUCUUGGCUUCUCAGGUAUCUGCCCCAGCACUCACUCCUUUCAUCUUUGUUCUAAAUCGCUAAUACCUUCCUUGUCUUUCUGCAUCAUCGACCCGAAUCCAGAUUGAGGGAAAUGAGUUCUGACUCAAACAACGGGUUUCCAUUUUACCAUGCCCCUGAGGUGCACUUUUUUCCAAAUCUGAAUUUUUCUACGAAUCCAAUAGCCUGUUGGUUGAUAGACUUCCUUUGCUUCGUGUUGAAUUACGAUCAUAUUUCUUUCUGUGCUGUUCCUUGGCUUUUCCUCAUAUAAUUGGAAAGACUAGUUGUAAAUUUUAAAAUUCUUUCUCGCUUGUUUUGACACAGACUUGACUUAAAAUGUAAAGAAAUGAUGGUGACUUUUAUUUUGAUAAAUGACAUAGAAAGACAAAAAGCAAUGAAUAUGUAAAUGAAAGAAAAGGGCAAUGUCCCAUAUUCAAAAAGAAAACUUAUCUGAAUACGACAACCAACUCCAAUGAGUAUGACAUGCAUUUUGGAUUGAGCUGCCUGAUCUUCCUAUCCAAACUCCCCAUUUGUNNNNNNNNNNNNNNNNNNNNNNNNNNNNNNNNNNNNNNNNNNNNNNNNNNNNNNNNNNNNNNNNNNNNNNNNNNNNNNNNNNNNNNNNNNNNNNNNNNNNNNNNNNNNNNNNNNNNNNNNNNNNNNNNNNNNNNNNNNNNNNNNNNNNNNNNNNNNNNNNNNNNNNNNNNNNNNNNNNNNNNNNNNNNNNNNNNNNNNNNNNNNNNNNNNNNNNNNNNNNNNNNNNNNNNNNNNNNNNNNNNNNNNNNNNNNNNNNNNNNNNNNNNNNNNNNNNNNNNNNNNNNNNNNNNNNNNNNNNNNNNNNNNNNNUAAGACUCUCUCAUUUUUAUUUCUCUCCACUCACCAUCGCCUUAUGAUGCCCACGGGGGUUUUCACCAAUAAGACUCUCUCAUUUUUAUUUUCUCUCAACUCACCCUCGCCUUAUGAUGCCCACGGAGGGUCUUCACCAAUAAGACUCUCUCAUUUUGUAUUUCUUUCCUGAUUUCUAAUGCUGAGGGAGACAAGCGAUACUUCACAAUGUAUCAUCAUAUCCAUUGCAUGCUUAGCCUUAACAUUAUCAAAAAUUGAUCUGAAGGACUUUCUUUGGUUGUAACUUGGCUUUUGGUUAGGGUUAGAAAAGAUGGUAAGGGGCUCAAACGAUACUUGAAGUGGGGGUGGGAGUUACAACUUUUGGAAUCGACUCAAGCAACACAUUAACUCAUGCCCCAGUUUUGUUGACUGGGUGAAUCUUAAAUCCUCAUUUGGUUGGACCGAGCCCGAAAUAGGGCAGCCUACGAUCUAGCUCCCGAGAGAGGAGAAUCAGGUCGGACGUAGUUCCAUCAGCUUGUUCUUUGUUCUGAUUUGAUUUUGAUUUUUUUUUUUAAAUUUUCGAACUCUUUCUUUUAUUCUCAUUUCCUCAACAUUUAUCUUUGACUCUAUUUUGAUUCCAAAAGAGGGAUAUGAAAGAAAAAUAAAACGAAGCUCAAACGGGUAAACAAAGGAUGACACAAUGUUUGGAUAGAAGAAUAAAAUGCCUUCAUCAUAUCAAUCUUAAAAAUGCAAGUACUAAACAUGCAAUAAAAUCAACAAAGGAUCAAAUAUCAUACAUAGUAUCUUUUGACCGCAUCAGCAUUGAUAGCCAUUUCUGCCAUUUUGCCUUCAGUAUCUGUCAAAUAUAAGGCUCCAUUGGGCAACACUUUCUUCACAACGAAGGGACCUUGCUAGUUAGGGGAGAACUUACCUUUCGCUUCAACCUGGUGAGGAAAGAUGCAUCUCAAUACCAACUGACCAACUUCAAAAUUCCUGGGACGGACCAUUUUGUUAUACGCUCGAGCCAUCCUCCUCUGAUACAACUGGCCAUGACACACAGAUGUUAGCCUUUUUUCCUCAAUCAAACUCAAAUGUUUCAGUCGGGUUUUUACCCAUUCGUCAUCAUCAAUCUCUGCUUCUACAAUGACUCAAAGAGAGGGAAUUUUAACUUCUACAGGGAUGACUGCUUCUGUCCCAUAUACCAGUAAAUAUGGAGUUGCCCCUGGUGAAGUGCGAACAGUGGUGCGAUAGCCUAGCAAUGCAAACGAAAACUUUUCAUACCACUGUCUAGAUCCUUGUACCAUCUUUCACAGUAUCUUUUUUAUAUUCUUAUUGGCGGCUUCUAUAGCACCAUUGGCCNNNNNNNNNNNNNNNNNNNNNNNNNNNNNNNNNNNNNNNNNNNNNNNNNNNNNNNNNNNNNNNNNNNNNNNNNNNNNNNNNNNNNNNNNNNNNNNNNNNNNNNNNNNNNNNNNNNNNNNNNNNNNNNNNNNNNNNNNNNNNNNNNNNNNNNNNNNNNNNNNNNNNNNNNNNNNNNNNNNNNNNNNNNNNNNNNNNNNNNNNNNNNNNNNNNNNNNNNNNNNNNNNNNNNNNNNNNNNNNNNNNNNNNNNNNNNNNNNNNNNNNNNNNNNNNNNNNNNNNNNNNNNNNNNNNNNNNNGGCUCAAUCGGUCCAAUCACAUCCAUUCCCCAAGCCACGAACGGCCAUGGAGCAGCCAUUGCAUGCAACUCAACAGGAGGAGAACGUAUCAGAUCACCGUGUACCUGACAUUGUUGACACUUUCGAACAAAUUGAAUAGAAUCCCUUUCCAUAGUAAGCCAGUAAUUACCUGCUUGAAGAAUCUUCUUUGACAAGACAUGACCAUUCAUAAGCGACCCGCAUACUCCAGAGUGUAUUUCAACCAUGAUUGCUGAGGCUUCUUUUGCAUCUACACACCUCAAAAGUCCGAGAUCUGGGGUUCUCUUAUAUAAGAUUCCCCCACUUAAGAAAAAUCUACUAGCCAAACGCCUAUUAGUCUUCUUUUGAUCGUCGGUGGCAUAUGCUGGGUAUUCUCCUGACUGAAUGUACCGCUUGAUAUCCAAGAACCAAGGUUCUCCAUCGAGCUCUUCUUCAACCACAUUACAGUAAGCAUGCUGAUCACGACUCUGUAUAUGCACUGGAUCGAUAUAGGCUUUGUCAGNNNNNNNNNNNNNNNNNNNNNNNNNNNNNNNNNNNNNNNNNNNNNNNNNNNNNNNNNNNNNNNGCCUAAAUUUUACUAACACAAACCGUUGACAUAGCUCCUGCAAGCAUUAUCGAUACGGGAUGAGCUUCAAAUCUCGCGUCUCCCAAUCGCCUUGAAUUUGAUGGACGAUCAAAUACGAAUCUCCCAACACCAAUAAUUCCUGGACUCCCAUAUCAACAGCUAACUGUCACAACCCUUUUUCACGUACUCCAAAAAAUGUAUAUUUUAAGGGUCGAAAGGGUUUUAUUAUUUAAGUGACAAGAAAUGAAAAUGUGUUUCGAAAAAGGAUUAUUUACAUUUUUUAUUAUUUAGAGUCGCCACUUGGCAUAAUUUGGUGUGCCAAGUCACCUUUGGAAAAUCCUUUUUGAAACCAUUUGACUAUUAAACCAGUUUGCGAAUAGAGAUUUCGACUUUGUUGACCGAGGGGAAGGUGUUAGGCACCCCUUGAUCCCGUGGUUCAACCACGGUCACUUGGGUAGAGUGUAUCAACUAUUUUGGCAUUACGAAAUGUACAAACCAUACAAAAGCAUGCAAAAUGAUCAAACAAUAAGAAACAAAACAAAAAUGUAAAGUCCAGUCCAAUUAUUACAACCCGAAAUAAAAAUACUGAAAUAACCUACACUAGUCCUAAACCAUGCUUUACCCAAUGCCUCGGGCCUUGAUCACGAACAUCCUUAGCGUACAAAAUUCUUCNNNNNNNNNNNNNNNNNNNNNNNNNNNNNNNNNNNNNNNNNNNNNNNGGUUAAAUAAAUACACUUUCCAAAUACGAUAAACAAGACAUUCAACAAAUAUUCCAAUCAUUCCAACACUACACCAAUCCUAAACUUGCCUACCCGAGAUUACUAUUUGCCUACCCGCUCGACGACAUAUUGCAUUCAACAUCAACAAUGUAUCAAAAAUAUCAUAAUAUUCACUUUUAUCAAUUUUUGAUUCCCGUCCCCAAAUUUAUUUCAACCAAUCGCACCAUUAAAACAAAUCAACUUCUUUCAUCAAUACCACCGGAGUCACAUCGCCAAACACGUGAUCAUAACAACAACAACAUCAGACAAUUACAAUCACCUAACACAUAAUCAUAGCCAUUUCAACAAAAAUAAAAUAAAGAAGAAAGUGCGAGAGUAAAGAGAUGGACCUCAAUGAUGAUUUUAUUCCAAAUAUCAGUCGAUCAAGAACAAGAAGAUGAGUCCGCGUGCUAAAGAAUCUCGAUCCGAAACCUCAACUCAACAACCAAAAUUGUAACUCGAAGAAUAAUCAACCAAAACUCCAGCAAGGAAAACCCGAAACGAAACCCAAAUCACUCAUUUCAAACUAAGCUUACACAGCUUACCGGAAUCGAGGUCGGAUUGUCGUUUUCUACCACGCCGGAGCUCCGGCAGAUCCGACAGUCAACGAAAUAGCUCUCUCUGGCUAGAUUUCACCGGAGAAAAACUGGAAAAAAAAUAGAGGAAUGGCAAAUUUUGGGCUACGAACAAACUGAUUCUGUGGGGUAUUCUCAUUCCGACGAAAAAAACUCACCAGAAAUAGUUAGCUCCAUCCAUUCUCUCUCUCUCUGUUACUCUCUCUCCUCGUUACUCUCUCUCCUCGUUACUCUCUCUCUCUCUCUCAUCUCUCCUCGUUGCUCUCUCUCUCUCUCGUCUCUCUUUCUCUCGUCUCCCUCCUCUAUAACUCUCCCUUUUGUGUAGGUGUAUAUGUGGAUUAUUAUGAUGCUGUGAAGAUGUUGAUAUAUUUAUUUGCGCAAUUCCCUGGGAGGAAGAAGAUACCCCCCCCCCCGCCUUUUUUGUUUCUAUAUGUAUAUAUAAAAAUCAAAACCAAAAAAUGGUCCCCUCCUCUUUAUACACAAAUUGUAUAUAUGUGUUAUAUGGAAACCUCCUGGAAGUUCCUGUGUUGUUAUCCAUAUGAAAAAUGGAAAAUCCCCCAAAAAUUCUCCUGUGGGCCCCUCUGGAAUGGCAAAAUAUGUGUAAAUAAUAAUAGGUAGGGGGCUGGUCACGUGGGCAAGGGUGGGUAUUGGUGAGGUAGGGUAGGUAGGGUCCAUGGGUAGGGGGUAGGGGGUGGGGUGGUGAGGUGGUUUAUUUUGAUUGGGUAGGUUGUUAGGAUAAGAUAGAAUUAGUUAGGAUAGGUUUUGUUAGGGAUUUUUUUUAUUAUUAUUAUUAUUUCGUAUUUUGUGAGGGUAUAAUAACAUGGGUGAUGAUACACGGUAGGAUAAAAAUAAAAUGGGUAAAAACGACAUCGGGGAGGGACAAAAUUAGGUGUCUACAUCAUGCCCCCUUUGGAUGUAAACACGAAGUGUUUCCAGGCAAAGAAGUAGACAGCGAGACCAAAUUUUAUCCUGACCUUUAUUUAAAAGCACGGAGCAAGAGGAAGGAGGAAAACCAGAUCUUGACUUAGGACAUCCUACCCACCCAAGUUAUGAGGGGAUCAAGUGACAAGUAUCUCAAAGGAUUGGAAGGAGAUGGACUAUACCGAGUUGAAAAGUCAAGGGAGGUUCCAUCGAGGUUCCAGUCCGCGGCUCUUGUCAUUACAUCAAAAAUGAAAAUUACAAGUUAAAACACAAAGAAAAUUAAAAAAUCCUAUCUAUACAGCUUCUAUUGGCUCUUGACUCGACUUUUAUCACCCUUUUCUUCAGGCGGGCUCCUGACUUGCAAUUUCUUCCAACUUGUCGCUUGACUUUCCAUUGCUUCGCUUUGUUGCUUGACUUUUCAUUUCUUCACCCUAUUCUCCAGGCGGGCUCCUGACUUGUUAUUUCAUCACCCUGUUCUUCAGGCGGGCUCCUGACUUGCUAUUUCAUCACCCUGUUCUUCAGGCGGGCUCUUGAAAUCCAAAAUUAAAACUAGAAGAAAAAUUAUCCCAAACAAAACAUUAUAGUAAAGUAGUAUUUCAUUUUUGAAAGUGUUGUCCCAUUAUCCAGGAGGAUCCUGAACAUAAAGUAAAAUCCAGACUUCCAUAAAAGACUUUCCCAUUGCCGGAAGUAAAUGUUGAAAAUAGGUCUCAUCCUGCGCCUGAAUGAAAACUUCUACCAACUUACUUUCUUUCAUUGGAGGGUUUACCCUGGCGGCCUGUUCACGCCACCUUAUCGCGUAUUUCCUAAAACCUUCGGUGCUCUUUUUCUUCAUGUUGAUCAAGGAUUUUCAUCCGAAAUCAGGUCGAUGUUAUACUGAAAAUGUUGAACAAAUUUAGAAGCCAAAUCAUCCCAGCUGUAACAUUUAUCGAUAUCUCGAUCGAUAAACCGUUCUGAAGCCAGAUCAGAAAGACUCUCGCCAAAGAAGGCCAUGAGCAGCUCUUCCCUUCCUCCUGCAGCCCUCAACUGGUUGCAAUAAUGUCUUAAGUGUGCCACGGGAUCGCCGUGUCCUGCAUACUUCUUGAACUUAGGCAUCUUAAAACCGGGGUAAAGGUUGAUGUCUGGGAACAUGUAAUGAUCUUUAUAGGAAACACUCCUACAAUCUCCGAUUCCUUGUAAAUUUCUCAUCGCUUGUUCUAAACUUUUCAAUUUCCGGGCUAUGAUAUCCUGUUCCUCCGUUGCGACAGGUUUCUCCGUAUCAAAUAGAAAUGCAGGCGGUUGAGUGUACCCAUACGGUUCAUUCAUUUGCAAAGUAGGCUUUGGAGCAUAAUACUGACUAUCUGAAACCUUCAGUAUUGGCUCACUGGCAGACCUAGGAAGCCUCAUUGUAGGACGCACAACAUAUAUGGGAGUUUCAUGUAGUGGCGGAGCCACGAAUACCGGUGUGAUCGGUGGCGCUGGCUGAGCAGCGGGUCUUGAUUGGGGAGCUGCCAAGGGCACACCAGAACUGCCAGGAUAAUAAUGUUACAGAGUGAAUCCUGGCGCGUGCUAAGGUGACUCAGUAGGAACAGAGAAUUGCGCCUAAGAAAGCGGUGGGCAGUUAGAGAUAUUCCCAAGGCCUUCAGGGAGUGAAGGAGGAGGCAUUCCGCUGGCCCAUGCCCGGUGUAAAUCUAUCAAUUGUUGCUUGAGCCUUACCACCUCAUCAUUGUGUUCAGAACUUUCUUCCCUAUGAGCCUGAUCCGGGUCAAUGAGCGAAUUUUCAAUCUCCCUGCUAGCCAUGGCGAGCUUUGCUUUGGAUCUAGUGAAGUAGGGGUGACUAGCCAGAGUGCUGCAAACCUACCACUGUUAUCUGAAAGAACAUGCUCAUCAAAGACCACAUCCGUUAGGAUUAGGGCACACAACAAACAUGAAAAUCACAUUGGUAAAAUUGCCCUAAAUUCAUGCUCAUUUCUACCAACUUUUGAGGGUAGCGAGGUCAUUUUAACAUCAUCCUAAUUUUUGUCUACACUAUUUUUAUUUUAUUUUUUUAUCUAUACUUAUUAUUAUUUUUCUUUCCCUCUUUUUUUUUCUAAUCAAUCUCUACUCUUUUCUUUUCUCUCGUUAUCUACCUUUAUUUUAUCAUUCUUUAUGGCUUUUGUUUUUCUUUAAAAGAGGAAAAAUAAUGAAAAACAACAAAACUAAAUGAUUAGAUCGAACCCAAAAGUAGGUUGCCUACGUAUCAUGUUGUACAUGAAUCAGAUCUUGCGUAGUUCAGGCCAAUCAAUUUUUUUUAUGGAAACGAAAAUAAACAAACAAGGAAAUACGUAACAUUAUAACAUUUUGAAGAAAGAAAACAAUAAAGACGUACAAAAGUUCGGGACUACUUUAAAACUAAACAACAAAUACGAAACGACAUUCUAGACCCCUAAGACGAACAGGUGAAAUUACUAGUAAAGACUCUAAUACCCAAAAACAACUUGAUUUCGACUUAAAGCAGACACCACCCUACGAUGACAGACACAUAAAAGACUCAAACUGAAAUAAGAUAGGAAAUGGUCUUUAAGACUGGUGCUCUGCGGGAUGACCCUGGCUGAUAUGGACCUGCCUCUGAAGUUCUCUUUCUCCCAUUCAAAAUUCGUAGCAUAUCUUGUAAAGACACCCUGAUACCGGGGAAGAAGCUUUGGGCCCGUAUUCCUGCUUCAUGAGGAGUGCACUUGGAAAGAUUAUUCUGGCACUUUUCUACCGUCUUGAACAAAUCUGAUAGUUGAACCCUCAUUGUUUCCACUUUGGACCCUACACUUUCAUCCUAAUGGUCGUCUACUAUGCAUUCUUUCUGUAUUCUCCCUCUAAGCUGCACUGGUAAGGGUUGACUGAUACCUCGAGGGAUAGAUUGGAGCCAGACCUCAUAUCCUUGAGUGUGGACCUGAUUAUCCAAACUUUCUUUGAGUGUGUCCACACCCAGCUUUGUUGCAUGCUUCCAAAACUGCUCGUACUUGCUCUCACCUAAGGCUUGGUCCUUGAAGUACUCAACAUUCUUCAGAAGAUCCACUUCUAGUGGCACGUCCUGCAGCCUACCCAACUGGCGCAUUACCCUACAAGGACUGUAUGGUCUAGUGCAAUUGAGCCCCAACAUAACUAAAGAGAGUUGCGUCUGACAACCCAACAAUACUAUCUUUGGGCGAAGCCACAGAUAAGUCCACAAAAUAUUAUCCCUGGUUCUCGACUCAAGAAAUUCAAUCCAAGCGUUGACUCCCACGGGUAAUAAGAAUUUAUCCAAACGCAACCUGGAGUCCAUGUCUUUCACUCGAUUGGGAAUACAACGAUCCAACACGUCUUGUCUAACUAAAGCAGGCGCAUGCAAAUGCUCCAUUAUCCAUAACUGCAAUAUCAAGUUACUGCCCUACAAAAAUCUCCUUCCCCCUUCACUUCGGUUAACGCCUUAUAUAUUUCUGUUAAGAUCAUGGGUAUGAGAGUGAACCUUCCCUUUUGAUUAAUGCCCUUGUCGUUUUGAUCCUUGUGAAAUAGGGCCAUCACCACAGAUUGCAAAUGGGUAUUAAUACGUCUUUCUUCUAGUGGAAACACUAAAGUUCCUAACAAAGUGAGGGUAAAGACUUCAAGACGCUUUCUCUCCCACUUCUCCUUAGUCACAUGAAAUUCAUCCCAAAAGCAAUCAAAACCUUCNNNNNNNNNNNNNNNNNNNNNNNNNNNNNNNNNNNNNNNNNNNNNNNNNNNNNNNNNNNNNNNNNNNNNNNNNNNNNNNNNNNNNNNNNNNNNNNNNNNNNNNNNNNNNNNNNNNNNNNNNNNNNNNNNNNNNNNNNNNNNNNNNNNNNNNNNNNNNNNNNNNNNNNNNNNNNNNNNNNNNNNNNNNNNNNNNNNNNNNNNNNNNNNNNNNNNNNNNNNNNNNNNNNNNNNNNNNNNNNNNNNNNNNNNNNNNNNNNNNNNNNNNNNNNNNNNNNNNNNNNNNNNNNNNNNNNNNNNNNNNNNNNNNNNNNNNNNNNNNNNNNNNNNNNNNNNNNNNNNNNNNNNNNNNNNNNNNNNNNNNNNNNNNNNNNNNNNNNNNNNNNNNNNNNNNNNNNNNNNNNNNNNNNNNNNNNNNNNNNNNNNNNNNNNNNNNNNNNNNNNNNNNNNNNNNNNNNNNNNNNNNNNNNNNNNNNNNNNNNNNNNNNNNNNNNNNNNNNNNNNNNNNNNNNNNNNNNNNNNNNNNNNNNNNNNNNNNNNNNNNNNNNNNNNNNNNNNNNNNNNNNNNNNNNNNNNNNNNNNNNNNNNNNNNNNNNNNNNNNNNNNNNNNNNNNNNNNNNNNNNNNNNNNNNNNNNNNNNNNNNNNNNNNNNNNNNNNNNNNNNNNNNNNNNNNNNNNNNNNNNNNNNNNNNNNNNNNNNNNNNNNNNNNNNNNNNNNNNNNNNNNNNNNNNNNNNNNNNNNCCUAACUUAAGAGACACUACCAAAACAAACGAAUAAAACUUUUUGGAUUUUCAACUAGACACUUCAACUAAGACUGACACCAUUAAUUAUGUAGAAAAAACUUUUUGGUAUUUUGUUUUUGACAAAUAAGUAGAAAAGGCAAACAAAACCCUUUUCUUUUCAUUUUUUUUUCAAUUUUUUUUUAUUUACAAUACUUUGAGAAGACAAAUGCAAAACAUAAAAAAAUCUUUUUGAUUUUUGAAUUGUGAAGAACCAAAGCCAUAAGAAUUCUAAAAUAAACUACGACAUUCCUCUCUUUUUUUUCAUUCUUUUCGACUCACUUUUUCUAUAUUUUUUUUUCUUUUUCAUUUUUGCCUACGCACCUUACUCCUAAUUUUUUUUUUCAAAAAUCGUCCAUCAAAAUGACUACGUUACCCUUAAAAAUACAGCAGUUAGCACGUAGGGAUGCUUUAGAGGUGAGUCUCCUACAAAGGGCCAUGUAGGUCCCGCUAGUUCUCCGUAUGAUGCACAUAAGCAUGACCUAAAGGCUGACCUACGUUGUGGUUUACUAACAAGGCUGUUCGGAGGAGCGUAUGGUCGAUAGUGGCUGCUUUGCUUUCCACCUACUCCAUAACACCGACGGCUCCCCCCCUAAAAUAAGGGUGACUCAACUAGAGGUCGUGUACAACACGUGUACUACGGACUUGUUGCAGAAAGAAGGCCGGGGGGUGGACUCAUGACGAUAGAUAUAAAGCGGUAACACAUAGGAUAAAUACUAUAAACAAAGAGCACGAAAAAGCACAAAAGUGAAAAUAACACAAACAACAACCACAAACAAUGCUUAUACACUCGUAAUGCCAAACAAAGCCGAUACGACUCCAAAAAUAGCUCGAAUUCUGAAAACUUGUCAUAGCGUUCCCCAGCAGAGUCACUAGAAGCUGUCACACCCCUUUUUCACGUGCUCCAAAAAAAUGUAUAUUUUAAGGGUAGAAAGGAUUUUAUUAUUUAAGUGACAAGAAAUGAAAAUUUGUUUCGGAAAAGGAUUAUUUAUAUUUUUUUAAUUCAGAGUAACCACUUGGCAUAAUCCGGUGUGCCAAGUCACCUUUGGAAAAUCCUUUUCAAAACCAUUUGACUCUUAAACUGGUUUACAAACAGAGAUUCCGGCUAAGGAAUUCUGUUGAGCGAGGCAAAGGUGUUAGGCACCCCUUGAUCCCGUAGUUCAACCACGGUCACUUGGGUAGAGUGUAUCAACUAUUUUGGCAUUACAAAAUGUACAAACCACACAAAAGCACGCAAAAUAAUUAAACAAUAACAAAACAAAACAAAAAUGUAAAGUCUAGUCCAAUUAUUACAACCCGAAAUAAAAAUACUGAAAUAACCUACACUAGUNNNNNNNNNNNNNNNNNNNNNNNNNNNNNNNNNNNNNNNNNNNNNNNNNNNNNNNNNNNNNNNNNNNNNNNNNNNNNNNNNNNNNNNNNNNNNNNNNNNNNNNNNNNNNNNNNNNNNNNNNNNNNNNNNNNNNNNNNNNNNNNNNNNNNNNNNNAACAAAUAUUCCAAUCAUUCCAACACUACACCAAUCCUAAACUUGCCUACCCGAGAUUACUAUUUGCCUACCCGCUCGACGACAUAUUGCAUUCAACAUCAACAAUGUAUCAAAAAUAUCAUAAUAUUCACUUUUAUCAAUUUUUGAUUCCUGUCCCCAAAUUUAAUUCAACCAAUCACACCAUUAAAACUAAUCAACUUCUUUCAUCAAUACCACCGGAGUCACAUCGCCAAACACGUGAUCAUAACAACAACAACAUCAAACAAUUACAAUCACCUAACACAUAAUCAUAGCCAUUUCAACAAAAAUAAAAUAAAGAAGAAAGUACGGGAGUAAAGAGAUGGACCUCAAUGAUGAUUUUAUUCCAAAUAUCAGUCGAUCAAGAACAAGAAGAUGAGUCCGCGUGCCAAAGAAUCUCGAUUCGGAACCUCAACUCAAUAACCAAAAUCGUAACUCGAAGAAUAAUCAACCAAAACUCCUGCAAGGAAAACCCGAAAUGAAACCCAAAUCACUCAUUUCAAACUAACCUUACACAGCUUACCGGAAUCGAGGUUGGAUUAUCAUUUUCUACCACGCCGGAGCUCUGGCAGAUCCGACAGUCAACGAAAUAGCUCUCUCUGGCUAGAUUUCACCGGAGAAAACUGGAAAAAAAAUAGAGGAAUGGAAAUUUUUGGGCUACGAACGAACUGAUUCUGCGAGGUAUUCUCAUUUCGACGAAAAAAACUCACCGAAAAUAGUUAACUCCAUCCGUUCUCUCUCUCUCUCUCUGUUACUCUCUCUGUUACUCUCUCCUCGUUACUCUCUCUCUCUCUCUCGUCUCUCCUCAUUACUCUCUCUCACGUCUCUCUUUCUCUCGUCUCCCUCCUCUAUAUCUCUCCCUUUUGUGUAGGUGUAUAUGUGGAUUAUUGUGAUGCUGUGAAGAUGUUGAUGUGUUUAUCUGUGUGUGCCGAAUUCCCUGUGAGGAAGAAGAUACCCCCCCCCCCUUUUUGUUUCUAUAUAUGUAUAUAUAAAAAUCAAAGCCAAAAAAUGGUCCCCUCCUCUUUAUACAUAAAUUGUAUGUAUGUGUUAUAUGGAAACCUCCUAGAAGUUCCUGUGUUGUUAUCCAUAUGAAAAAUGGAAAAUCCCCCAAAAAUUCUCCUGUGGGCCCCUCUGGAAUGGCAAAAUAUGUGUAAAUAAUAAUAGGUAGGGGGCUGGUCACAUGGGCAAGGGUGGGUAUUGGUGAGGUAGGGUAGGUAGGGUCCACGGGUAGGGGGUAGGGGGGGGGGUGGUGAGGUGGUUUAUUUUGAUUGGGUAGGUUGUUAGGAUAAGAUAGAAUUAGUUAGGAUAGGUUUUGUUAGGGAUUUUUUUUAUUAUUAUUAUUAUUUCGUAUUUUGUGAGGGUAUAAUAACAUGGGUGAUGAUACACGGUAGGAUAAAAAUAAAAUGGGUAAAAACGACAUCGGGGAGGGACGAAAUUAGGUGUCUACAUCAUGCCCCCUUUGGAUGUAAACACGAAGUGUUUUCAGGCAAAGAAGUAGACAGCGAGACCAAAUUUUGUCCUGACCUUUAUUUAAAAGCACGGAGCAAGAGGAAGGGGGAAAACCAGAUCUUGACUUAGGACAUCCUACCCACCCAAGUUAUGAGGGGAUCAAGUAACAAUUAUCUCAAAGGAUUGGAAGGAGAUGGACUAUACCGAGUUGGAAAGUCGAGGGAGGUUCCAUCCAGGUUCCGGUCCGCGUCUCUUGUCAUUACAUCAAAAAUAAAAAUUACAAGUUAAAACAUAAAGAAAAUUAAAAAAUUCUAUCUAUACAGCUUCUAUUGGCUCUUGACUCGACAUUUAUCACCCUAUUCUUCAAGCGGGCUCCUGACUUGCAAUUUCUUCCAACUUGUUGCUUGACUUUCCAUUGCUUCGCUUUGUUGAUUGACUUUUCAUUUCUUCACCCUAUUCUCCAGGAGGGCUCCUGACUUGUUAUUUCAUCACCCUGUUCUUCAGGCGGGCUCCUGACUUGCUAUUUCAUCACCCUGUUCUUCAGGCGGGCUCUUGAAACCCAAAAUUAAAACUAGAACAAAAAUUAUCCUAAACAAAAAAUUAUAGUAAAGUAGUAUUUCAUUUUUGAAAGUGUUGUCCCAUUUUCCAGGAGGGUCCUUUACAUAAAGUAAAAUCCGAACUUCCAUAAAAAACUUUCCCAUUGCCGGAAGUAAAUGUUGAAAAUAGGUCUCAUCCUGCGCCUGAAUGAAAACUUCUACCAACUUACUUUCUUUCAUUAGAGGCUUUACCCUGGCGGCCUGUUCACGCCACCUUAUCGCGUAUUCCCUAAAACCUUCAGUGCUCUUUUUCUUCAUGUUGAUCAAGGAUUUUUCGUUCGAAAUCAGGUCGAUGUUAUACUGAAAGAGUUGAACAAAUUUAGAAACCAAAUCAUCCCAGCUGUUACAUUUAUCGAUAUCUCGAUCGAUAAACCAUUCGGAAGCCAGAUCAGAAAGACUCUCACCAAAGAAGGCCAUGAGCAGCUCUUCCCUUCCUCCUGCAGCCCUCAACUGGUUGCAAUAACGUCUUAAGUGUGCCACGGGAUCGCCGUGUCCUGCAUACUUCUCGAACUUAGGCAUCUUAAAAUAGGGGGGAAGGUGUCUGGGAACAUGCAAAGAUCUUUAUAGGAAACACUCCUAUAAUCUCCGAUUCCUUGCAAAUUUCUCAUCGCUUGUUCUAAACUUUUCAAUUUUCGGGCUAUGAUAUCCUGUUCCUCCGUUGCGACAGGUUUCUCCGUAUCAAAUGAAAAUGCAGGCGGCUGAGUGUACCCAUAGGGUUCAUUCAUUUGCAAAGUAGGUUUAGAGGCAUAAUACUGACUAUCUGAAACCUUCAGUACUGGCUCACUGGCAGACCUAGGAAGCCUCAUUGUAGGACGCACAACAUAUAUGGGAGUGUCAUGUAGUGGCAGAGCCACGAAUACCAGUGUGAUCGGUGGCGCUGGCUAAGCAGCGGGUCUUGAUUGGGGAACUGCCAAGGGCACACCAGAACUGCCAGGAUAAUAAUGUCGCGGAGUGAAUCCUGGUGCGUGCUCAGGUGACUCAGUAGGAACAGAGAAUUGCACCUGAGAAAGCAGUGGGCAAUUAGAGAUAUUCCCAAGGUCUUCAGGGAGUGGAGGAGGACGCAUUCCGCUGGCCCAUGCCCGGUGUAAAUCUAUUAAUUGUUGCUUGAGCCUUACCACCUCAUUAUUCUGUUCAGAACUUUCUUCCCUGUGAUCCUAAUCCGGGUCAAUGAGCGAAUUUUCAAUCUCCCUGCUAGCCAUGGCAAGCUUUGCUUUGGAUCUGGUGAAGUAUGGGUGACUAGCCAGAGUGCUACAAACCUACCACUGUUAUCUGAAAGAACAUGCUCAUCAAAGACCACAUCCGUUAGGAUUAGGGCACACAACAAGCAUGGAAAUCACAUUGGUAAAAUUGCCCUAAAUUCAUGCUCAUUUCUACAAACUUUUGAGGGUAGCGAGGUCAUUUUAGCAUCAUCCUGAUUUUUGUCCACACUAUUUUUAUUUUAUUUUUUUUAUCUAUACUUAUUAUUAUUUUUCUUUCCCUCUUUUUUUUUCGUAUCAAUCUCUGCUCUUUUCUUUUCUCUCGUUAUCUACCUUUAUUUUAUCAUUCUUUAUGGCUUUUGUUUUUCUUUAAAAGAGGAAAAAUAAUGAUAAACAACAAAACUAAAUGAUUAGAUCAAACCCAAAAGUAGGUUGCCUACGUAUCAUGUCGUACAUGAAUCAGAUCUUGCGUAGUUCGGGCCAAUCAAUUUUUUUAUGGAAACGAAAAUAAACAAAUAAGGAAAUACGUAACAUUAUAACAUUUUGAAGAAAGAAAACAACAAAGACGUACAAAGGUUCGGGACCACUUUAAAACUAAACAACAAAUACGAAAUGACAUUCUAGACCCCUAAGACGAACAGGUGAAAUUACUAGUAAAGAAUCUAAUACCCAAAAACAACUUGAUUUCGACUUAAAGCAGACACCACCCUACGAUGACAGACACAUAAAAGACUCAAACUGAAAUAAGAUAGGAAAUGGUCUUUCAGACUGGUGUUCUGCGUAAUGACCCUGGCUGAUAUGGACCUGCCUCUGAAGUUCUCUUUCUCUCAUUCAAACUGUGUAGCAUAUCCUGUAAAGACACCCUGAUACCGGGGUAGAAGAUUCGGGCCCGUAUUCAUUCUUCAUGAGGAGUGCACUUGGAAAGAUUAUUCUGACACCUUUCUACCGUCUUGAAAAUUUGCUAGCCGAACCUUCAUUGUUUCCACUUUGGACCCUACACUUUCAUCCUGAUGGUCGUCUACUAUGCAUUCUUUCUGUAUUCUCCCUCUAAGCUGCGCUGGUAAGGGUUGACUAAUACCCCGAGGGAUAGAUUCAAGCCAGACCUCAUAUCCAUGAGUGUGGCCCUGAUUAUCCAAACUUUCUUUGAGUGUGUCCACACCAGGCUUUGUUGCAUGCUUCCAAAACUGCUCGUACUUACUCUCACCUAAGGCUUGGUCCUUGAAGUACUCAAUAUUCUUCAGAAGAUUCACUGCUAGUGGCACGUCCUGCAGCCUACCCAACUGGCGCAUUACCCUACAAGGACUGUAUGGUCUAGUGCAAUUAAGCCCCAACAUAACUAAAGAGAGUUGCGCCUGACAACCCAACAAUACUAUCUUUGGGCGAAGCCACAGAUAAGUCCAUAAAAUGUUAUCCCUAGUUCUCGACUCAAGAAAUUCAAUCCAAGUGUUGACUCCCACGGGUAACGAGAAUUUAUCCAAACGCAACCUAGAGUCCAUGUCUUUCACUCGAUUGGGAAUACAACGAUCUAACACGUCUGAUCUAACUAAAGAAGGCCCAUGCAAAUGCUCCAUCACCCAUAAAUGCAAUACCAGGUUACUCCCCUAAAAAAAUCUCCUUCCCCCCUUCUCUUUGGUUAAAGCCUUAUAUAUUUCUAUUAAGAUCAUUGGUAUGAGAGUGAACCUGCCCUUUUGAUUAAUGCCCUUGUCGUUUUGAUCCUUGUGAAAUAGGGCCAUCACCACAGAUUGCAAAAGGGUAUUAAUACGUCUUUCUUCUAGUUGAAACACUAAAGUUCCUAACAAAGUGAGGGUGAAGACUUCAAGACGCUUUCUCUCCCACUUCUCCUUAGUCACAUGAAAUUCAUCCUAAAAGCAAUCAAAACCUUCCGAGGGCCCGAAUCUAGCGAACAAAAAGUCUAAGGAAACCCACGAAUAACUUAAACAGCCCAAACGGAUACCCUUACUUUUUAAACCGCACGACUGCAAAAAUCUCACGCCAGUAUGUUUUCGUGCUCGGAUCAUAUCCUUCUCGACAUAGAGCAAAUGCAACAAACCGGAUAUUUCCACCAAAGUAGGAGUCAUUUCACAUUCCCCAAACCUGAACACCAAACUACUUGGAUCCCAAAAGCUUAACAAAGCCACUAUUAAAUCUGGACGGGGUAAAAUGCAGAAGUUCCGUAAGAUCACCUAAUAUUUUAACCAGUUUCUGUUGAUCAACAUAGUUAAACAUUUCCCACCAUUUGAUUAACUUUUUGGGCACCUUGAAAACCUUCAGAAACUAUACUUGGUGGACAAAUCCAUCCUGUAAUAACACACAAGACGUUAUCUCAAAAUUCGACAGGAGUAGAAGAUUCCCAACCCUUGGGAGUUUUGACGCAAACAUAUGUCGAUGGGACAGACCACAUUCAUGACUCCAAUUUGCCGAACAGAAGUACUGAGCAAAAUCAGUCUACUUGGCAAACAACUCUAGAUUACGAGGCGAGAGACCUAAGCUAAUACUAAGAUAAAGGCCAACACAAAGAAUUACCGGACCCACCGAGGGUUGCCUACGCAUACCUGAUUGGACAAUUAACGAUUAACUAAUAAAUUGAUCCUAACUUAAGAGACACUACCAAAACAAACGAAUAAAACUUUUUGGAUUUUCAACUAGACACUUCAACUAAGACUGACACCAUUAAUUAUGUAGCAAAAUCUUUUUGGUAUUUUGGUUUUGACAAAUAAGUAGAAAAGGCAAACAAAACCCUUUUUUUCAUUUUUUUUUCAAUUAUUUUUUUUUAUUUACGGUACUUUGAGAAGACAAAUGCAAAACGUAAAAAAAUCUUUUUGAGUUUUGAAUUGUGAAGAACCAAAGCCAUAAGAAUUCCAAAAUAAACUACAACAUUCCUCUCUUUUUUUAUAUUUUUUUCGACUCACUUUUUCUAUAUUUUUUUUUCUUUUUUGUUUUUGCCUAUGUACCUUAAUCCUAAUUUUUUUUUUCAAAAAUCAGUCCAUCAAAUGACUACAUUACCCUUAAAAAUGCAGCAGUUAGCACGUAGGGAUGCUUUAGAGGUGAGUCUCCUACAAAGGGCCAUGUGGGUCCCAAUAGGUCUCCGUAUGAUGCACAUAAGCAUGACCUAAAGGCUGACCUACAUUGUGGUUUACUAACAAGGCUGUUUGGGGGAGCGUAUGAUCGAUAGUGGCUGCUUUGCUUUCCACCUACUCCAUAACACCGACAGCUCCCCCCCUAAAAUAAGGGUGGCUCAACUAGAGGUCGUGUACAACACGUGUAGUACAGACUUGUUGCAGAAAGAAGGCCGGGGAGUGGACUCAUGACAAUAUAUAUAAAGCAGUAACACAUAGGAUAAAUACUAUAAACAAAGAGCACGAAAAAGCACAAAAGUGAAAAUAACACAAACAACAACCACAAACAAUGCUUAUACACUCGUAAUGCCAAACAAAGCUGAUACGACUCCAAAAAUAGCUCGAAUUCUGAAAACUUGUCAUAGCAUUCCCCAGUAGAGUCGCCAGAAGCUGUCACACCCCUUUUUCACGUACUCCAAAAAAAAUGUAUAUUUUAAGGGUCGAAAGGGUUUUAUUAUUUAAGUGACAAAAAAUGAAAAUUUGUUUCGGAAAAGGAUUAUUUACAUUUUUUUUAUUCAGAGUAACCACUUGGCAUAAUCCGGUGUGCCAAUUCACCUUUGGAAAAUCCUUUUCGAAACCAUUUGACUCUUAAACCGGUUUGCAAACAGAGAUUCCGGCUAAGGAAUUCUGUUGACCGAGGGGAAGGUGUUAGGCACCCCUCGAUCCCGUGGUUCAACCACGGUCGCUUGGGUAGAGUGUAUCAACUAUUUUGGCAUUAUGAAAUGUACAAACCACACAAAAGCACGCAAAAUAGUUAAACAAUAACAAAAUAAAACAAAAAUGUAAAGUCCAGUCCAAUUAUUACAACCCGAAAUAAAAAUACUGAAAUAACCUACACUAGUCCUAAACCAUGCUUUACCCGAUGCCUCAGGCCUUGAUCACGAACAUCCUUAGCAUAUAAAAUUCUUCGGGGCAUUCCCCGAUGAGUAAAUACAAAUUACCUCAGGGCAUUCCCCGGUUAAAUAAAUACACUUUCCAAAUACGAUAAACAAGACAUUCAACAAAUAUUCCAACCAUUCCAACACUACACUAAUCCUAAACUUGCCUACCCGAGUUUACUAUUUGCCUACCCGCUCGACAACAUAUUGCAUUCAACAUCAACAAUGUAUCAAAAAUAUCAUGAUAUUCACUUUUAUCAAUUUUCGAUUCCCGUCCCUAAAUUUAUUUCAACCAAUCACACCAUUAAAACUAAUCAACUUCUUUCAUCAAUACCACCGGAGUCACAUCGCCAAACAUGUGAUCAUAAAAACAACAACAUCAGACAAUUACAAUCACCUAACACAUAAUCAUAGCCAUUUCAACAAAAAUAAAAUAAAGAAGAAAGUACGGGAGUAAAGAGAUGGACCUCAAUGAUGAUUUUAUUCCAAAUAUCAGUUGAUCAAGAACAAGAAGAUGAGUCCGCGUGCCAAAGAAUCUCGAUUCGAAACCUCAACUUAACAACCGAAAUCGUAACUUGAAGAAUAAUCAACCAAAACUCUAGCAAGGAAAACCCAAAACGAAACCCAAAUCACUCGUUUCAAACUAACCUUACACAGCUUACCGGAAUCGAGGUCGGAUUAUUAUUUUCUACCACGCCGGAGCUCCGGCAGAUCCGACAAUCAAUGAAAUAGCUCUCUCUGGCUAGAUUUCACCGGAGAAAAACUGAAAAAAAUAGAGGAAUGGCAAUUUUUGGGCUACGAACGAACUGAUUCUGUAGGGUAUUCUCAUUCCGACAAAAAAAACUCAUCGAAAAUAGUUAGCUCCAUCUGUUCUCUCUCUCUCUCUCCAUUACUCUCUCUGUUACUCUCUCUCCUCGUUACUCUCUCUCUCUCAUCUCUCCUCGUUGCUCUCUCUCUCUCUCUCUUGUCUCUCUUUCUCUCGUCUCCCUUCUCUAUAUCUCUCCCUUUCGUAUAAGUGUAUAUGUGGAUUAUUGUGAUGCUGUGAAGAUGUUGAUGUGUUUAUCUGUGUGUGCCGAAUUCCCUGUGAGGAAGAAGAUACCCCCCCCUUUUUAUUCCUAUAUGUAUAUAUAAAAAUCAAAACCAAAAAACAGUCCCCUCCUCUUUAUACACAAAUUGUAUGUAUGUGUUAUAUGGAAACCUCCUAGAAGUUCCUGUGUUGUUAUCCAUAUGAAAAAUAGAAAAUCCCCCAAAAAUUCUCCUGUGGGCCCCUCUGGAAUGGCAACAUACGUGUAAAUAAUAAUAGGUAGGGGGCUGGUCACGUGGGCAGAGGGUGGGUAUUGGUGAGGUAGGGUAGGUAAGGUCCACGGGUAGGGGGUAGGGUGUGGGGUGGUGAGGUGGUUUAUUUUGAUUGAGUAGGUUGUUAGGAUAAGAUAGAAUUAGUUAGGAUAGAUUUUGUUAGGGAUUUUUGUUAUUAUUAUUAUUAUUAUUUUUUCGUAUUUUUUGAGGGUAUAAUAACAUGGGUGAUGGUACACGGUAGGAUAAAAAUAAAAUGGGUAAAAACGACAUCGUGGAGGGACGAAAUUAGGUGUCUACACUAACCUCAAACCAAGAAUGCAGGCUUCAUACUCUGCCAUAUUAUUAGUACAGUAGAAUCGAAGUUGUGCUGUUAUCGAGAAAUGUUGUCCCGAUUCAGAGAUAAGAACCGCACCUAUCCCGACUCCUUUUAUAUUGACAGCGAACAACUUCCAACCUGGAUCAUCAUCUAUAACAACUUCAUCGACACACAACCCUUCUUCAUCAGGAAAAUAUGUCCUUAAUGGCUCGUACUCUUCAUCGAUGGGAUUCUCAGCAAGAUGAUCUGCCAAGGCUUGGGCUUUCAUGGCAUUUCGAGUCACAUAUACAAUGUAGAACUCGGUAAGCAAUAUUUGUCACUUUGCCAAUCGACCCAUCGGCAUAGGCUUCUGAAAGUAUACUUUAAAGGAUUCAUGUGGGAUAUGAGAUAAGUAGUAUAGGAUGAGAGAUAAUGCUUCAACUUCUGUGCUACCCAAGUUAGGGCACAACACGUCCUUUCAAGAAGAGUAUACCUGGCCUCAUAUGCGGUGAACUUCUUGCUAAGAUAAUAAAUAGCCUGCUCCUUUUUGACUGUGACAUCAUGCUGACCCAGGACACAACCGAAAGAAUUGUCCAUGACUGAUAAAUAUAAGAUCAAAGGCCUACCAGGAUUCGGGGGUACCAGCACGGGUGGAUUUGACAAAUAUCUUUUGAUUCGAUCGAACUCUUCUUGACAUUCUUCAGUCCAUUUUACCGCAGCAUACUUUUUCAGCAACUUGAAUAUGGUCUCACAAGUGGUUGUGAGUUUAGCAAUAAACUUGCUAAUGUAGUUCAGUCUACCAAGCAAACUCAUCACCUCCGUUCUAUUCUUGGGCGGGGCCAAAUCCUGAAUUUUGAUUAUUUUAAAAAACUGACUUUUUGACUUAAUAAUCACAUCAUCCACGUAGACCUCAAUAUCCUUAUGCAUCAUAUCAUGAAACAUAGUGGUCAUGGCUCUCAUGUAUGUUGCUCCAGCAUUCUUCAAACCAAACGGCAUCACUUGAUAACAAUAAGUCCCCCAUGGUGUGAUAAAAGAUGUCUUCUCUGCAUCGUCAUCAUCCAUAAUGAUCUGGUGAUAUCCGGCAUAGCAAUCCACAAAAGAGGCAACCUCGUGUUUAGCAUAGUUGUCUAGCAAGUCUAGCAAAAUGUGGAUGUUGGGCAAUGGAAAAUCAUCUUUCGAACUUGCUCUGUUCAAAUCACGGUAAUCAACACACACUCGAAUUUUGCCAUCUUUCUUUGGUACGGGAACAACAUUGGAUAACCACAUGGGAUAGCGAGCUACUCAAAUUACUUUCAAUUCAAGUUGUUUCAUGAUUUCCUCUUUAAUUUUAAUACCUACAUCCGUUUUAAACUUCCUCAACUUCUGUUUGACAAGAGGGAACGCGGGAUCAGUUGGCAAUUUAUGANNNNNNNNNNNNNNNNNNNNNNNNNNNNNNNNNNNNNNNNNNNNNNNNNNNNNNNNNNNNNNNNNNNNNNNNNNNNNNNNNNNNNNNNNNNNNNNNNNNNNNNNNNNNNNNNNNNNNNNNNNNNNNNNNNNNNNNNNNNNNNNNNNNNNNNNNNNNNNNNNNNNNNNNNNNNNNNNNNNNNNNNNNNNNNNNNNNNNNNNNNNNNNNNNNNNNNNNNNNNNNNNNNNNNNNNNNNNNNNNNNNNNNNNNNNNNNNNNNNNNNNNNNNNNNNNNNNNNNNNNNNNNNNNNNNNNNNNNNNNNNNNNNNNNNNNNNNNNNNNNNNNNNNNNNNNNNNNNNNNNNNNNNNNNNNNNNNNNNNNNNNNNNNNNNNNNNNNNNNNNNNNNNNNNNNNNNNNNNNNNNNNNNNNNNNNNNNNNNNNNNNNNNNNNNNNNNNNNNNNNNNNNNNNNNNNNNNNNNNNNNNNNNNNNNNNNNNNNNNNNNNNNNNNNNNNNNNNNNNNNNNNNNNNNNNNNNNNNNNNNNNNNNNNNNNNNNNNNNNNNNNNNNNNGGGAGAGGAGUGACUUCCCAAUUAUUGAGCCGGACAGCUGGACCUAUGAAUUACACGUCUGCCAUACUGGUACCUUCUACUGCUUUGACCAUAUCAACUUCAAUAAAAAGGUUCUGGAAGUCAUCAACCAAUUCAACUUCAAAUUCCACAUGCUUCGUGACACCGCUCUUAACAAAUAAUUCACUGAGUAGUGGCAUUGGGUGAGAGAGUAACCAUAUUUCCUUUUUCCUUCCCUUGGCUUUCUUCAAAUCUUCAGUUGUCGGCUCAAAUCCCAGACCAAACGUGCCCAUGUUCUCACUCGAACAUAUGGGAUGAACUAUACCUGCAGAGACGCUCCCAAACCCUUUCCUGGAUCAAAUCCGUAUUUCCAAAGUUCACUCACCAUCAUGAUAGAAGCAGAAGACAAUUGCGAUCUCAGUAUAGCCUGCCAUUCCAGGAUACGAUUCACUGGCACUGUAUCAAAAAUUUGAUAGACGAAUGUCUCCUCUAAGUUAUUUGCUUCAAUAAGAGACAGGGGAGAAUCUUCGUAGGCUGACAAAUCUCCUUUACCAUGAAUAACUACUUCUUUCCUGUCAUGCUCAAACUUAAUUAUUUGGUGCAGUGUAGAUGCAAUCGCCUUGGCCUUGUAGAUCCAUGGCCUUCCCAACAACAGAUUGUAAGAGGAGUCUACAUUCAAAACUUGAAACUCAAUGGCGAACUCAACAGGCCCCAUGGUCAACAUUAGUUCUAUUUCACCAAUGAAAUUUGAUUUUGCACCAUCGAAAGCCCUAACACAUACAUUGUUGGGCCUGAUCUUGUCAGCACCAAUAUUCAACUUUUGCAAAGUAGAAAUAGGGCAAAUAUUUGAACCUGAACCUCCACCAAUCAUAACAUGAGUGACGUAGAAAUCUUCACACUUCACUGCAAUGUAAAGGCCCCGGUUAUGCCCUGUACCUUCGACAGGCAAUUCAUUGUUAGAAAAGCUGAUACGAUUGACCUCAAAGAUUUUUCCCACCAUUUUAUCAAGUUGGUUGAUUGUAAUCUCCCUUGGAACAUAUGCUUCAUUUAAUACCUUCAGUAAAAUAUCACGAUGCUCCUUGGAGUACAACAGCAAAGAUAAAAGGGAAAUUUGAGCAGGGGUUUUCUUCAAUUGGUCUAAUAUUGAAUACUCCGGAAAUUUCAUAUUUUUCAAAAAUUCUUCGGCUUUUUCUUCGGUGAUAGGCUUCUUGAUAGAUGACGAUCCACUCACCGUUGGCUGGGACUUUCUUAAACUUUCAGGCACGAAGCAUCUUUCUGACCUAGUCAAACCCCCUACCUCAUCAAUAUCUUCCACAACUUCUUUCUCGUGAUAGGUCAUCACAGUCCACAAAUAAUUCCAAGGAAUCCUUUUCGUGUCAACUAUCGGAGGUUGGGUCACCGAUUUGAGGACAAUAGGCGCUGUCAGUACUCCUUUCACCGUCAAGAUGGCUGACUCAGAGCUUCCACCACUGUCAACUUAGGUUUAUCCUGACUUAAAUCAAUAUGCCUUCUGGUGCCCUAUACUGUAAUCAUGGGUUUCUUUGUGCUUUCUUGGGCUUUAUCUUCUAUCAUUCCUUUCUGGCUCAAUGACAUUGCUUUCAAAGACUCCGCUACAUUCAUCGAUUUCUCCUCAGUGGUCUGUAUCUUAACAAUAGGAUUAUAACCCCUCGAAGACUCUUUUCCAUCAUAUACCAAUUCUAACAUAUUGGCUUCAGCAUGGGUUGACAGCGGAUUCUAGUUAAUGUUUGGACCCUCUAGGGCCUCGACCAAUAUCUAAUUUGUGUCAAUUAAAUCUUGUACAGUUCUUUUUAAAUGCCAGUAUUUCUCGAUAUCGUGGCCUGGCAUAUUAGAACAGUACGCACACCUUAAAUAAUAAUCGAGAUUCCUCGGCGGUGGGUUUGAAAGCCUUUCUUGAAUUGGGCUUAAAACCUUCAACUUUCUCAACCUAUCAAACAAGCUAGCAUACGACUCCCCAAGAGGUGUGAAUUGAUUUCUGACCACCUUAUCCUUCUUAUACUUGGGCCAAGGCUGAAAGGUGGGUCUGGAGGGGUUUUGGUGAUUUGGUGGAGCGAAUGGGCAAUUUUAUGGAGCUUGCGCGCGCCACUGCGAGUAAAAAGGGGUUUGGGCAUAUGGCUGCACGCUAUAUACUGGGUAUGGAGGUAGCGAAAUGGAAUAUAAAGGGUUUUGUGGAGGGUAGUAAAGGUGGGGAGUAAUAUAUGGAGCUUGAGCAUAGACUUAGGCUUGGGACUGGGGAUAGGGGCGAGGUGGCCUUUUGGGAUAGGAAUGGGUUCCAGCUACAACAGUCGCCACGUCCUCUUUCUUCUUUUUACCUAUAAAUGCACCAGAUCCACCUUGAAUCACUUGUGUGGUGGCUUUUAAUACGGCAAAAUUCACUAUUCGGCCGGUCUUAAUUCCGUCCUCUAUCAUCUCCCCCAUUUUGAGGACUUUUAUAAAAGACUUUCCCAUUGCCGGAAGUAAAUGUUGAAAAUAGGUCUAAUCCUGAGCCUGAAUGAAAACUUCUACCAACUUAGUUUCUUUCAUUGGAGGAUUUACCCUGGCGGCCUGUUCACGCCACCUUAUCGUGUAUUCCCUAUAACCUUCAGUGCUCUUUUUCUUCAUAUUGACCAAGGAUUUUUUGUCCAAAAUCAGGUCGAUGUUGUACUGAAAAUGUUGAACAAAUUCGGCAGCCAAAUCAUCCCAGCUGUUCCAUUUAUCGAUAUCUCGAUCGAUAAACCAUUCUGAGGCCAGAUCAGAAAGACUCUCUCCAAAAAAGGCCAUGAGCAGUUCUUCCUUUCCUCCUGCAGCCCUCAACUAGUUGCAAUAACGUCUCGAGUGUGCAACGGGAUCACCGUGUCCUGUAUACUUCUCAAACUUAGGCAUCUUAAAACCGGGGGGAAGGUUGAUGUCUGGAAACAUGCAAAGAUCUUUAUAGGAAACACUCCUAUAAUCUCCGAUUCCUUGCAAGUUCCUCAUAGCUUGUUCUAAACUUUUCAAUUUUCGGGCUAUGAUAUUCUGUUCCUCUGCUGCGACCGGUUUCUCUGUAUCAAAUGAAAAUGCAGGCGGCUGAGUGUACCCAUACAGUUCAUUCAUUUGCAAAGUAGGCUCCGGGGCAUAAUACUGACUAUCUGAAACCUUUAGUACUGGCUCACUGGCAGACCUAGGAAGCCUCGUUGUGGGACGCACAACAUAUAUGGGAGUUUCAUGUGGUGGCGGAGCCACGAAUACCGGUGAGAUCGUGGCGCUGGCUAAGCAGCUGGUCUUGAUUGGGGAGCUGCCAAGGGCACACCAGAAUUGCCAGGAUAAUAAUGUCGCGGAGUGAAUCCUAACGCGUGCUCAGGUGACUCAGUAGGAGCAUAGAAUUAUGCCUGAGAGAGCGGUGGGCAGUUAGAGAUAUUCCCAAUACCUUCAGGGAGCGGAGGAGGAGGCAUUCCGCUGGCCCAUGCCUGGUGCAAAUCUAUCAAUUGUUGCCUGAGCCUUACUACCUCAUCAUUGUGUUCAGAACUUUCUUCCGUGUGAUCCCGAUCCGGGUCAAUGAGCGAAUUUUCAAUCUCCCUGCUAGCCAUGGAGAGCUUUGCUUUGGAUCUAGCGAACUAUGGGUGACUAGCCAGAGUGCUGCAAACCUACCACUAAUUUCUGAAAGAACAUGCUCAUCAAAGAUGACAUCCGUUAGUAUUAGGGCACACAACAAGCAUGGGAAUCACAUUGGUAAAAUUGUCCUAAAUUCAUGUUUAUUUCUACCAGCUUUUGAGGGUAGCGAGGUCAUUUUAACAUCAUCCUAAUUUUUUCUACAUUUCUUUUAUUUUUUUUAUCUACACAUUAUUAUUAUCAUUAUAUUAUUAUAUAUAUUUUUUCGCACUCAUCUCUGCUCUUUUCUUUUCUCUCAUUAUCUACCUUUAUUUUAUCAUUCUUUAUAGCUUUUGUUUUUCUUUAGAAGAGGAAAAAUAAUGAAAAACAACGAAACAAAAUGAUUAGAUCGAACCCAAAAGUAGGUUGCCUACGUAUCAUGUUGUACAUGAAUCAGAUCUUGCGUAGUUCGGGCAGCAUGUGCAUAAACACUACCCACUUUUUUUUUGCGAAAACGAAAAUAAACAAACAAAACAAAGACGAUAACAUCAUAACAAUUUGAAGAAAGGAAACAACAAAAAUGUACAAAAAGUUGGGGACCACUUUAAAACUAAACAACAAAUACGAGACAACAUCCUAGACCCUGAAGACGACAUAGGUAAAAUAACUGAUAAAGACCUUAAUACCAAAACAACUUGACUUCGACUUAAAGCAGACACCACCCUACCAUGACAAACUCAUAAAAGACUCAAACUGAAUAAAGAUAAGAAGUGCUCUUUCAGGCUGGUGUUCGGCUUGAUGACCCUGGCUGAUACAGACCUGCCUCUGAAGUUGUCUUUCUCCCAUUUAAACUUUGUAGCAUAUCCUGUAAAGACACCCUGAUACCGGGGAAGAAGCUUUGGUCCCGUAUUCCUACUUCAUGAGGAGUGCACUUGGAAAGAUUAUUUUGACACCUUUCUACUGUCUUGCACAAAUCUGCUAACUGAACCCUCAGUGUUUCCACUUUGGACCCUACACUUUCAUCCUGAUGGUCGUCUACUAUGCAUUUUUCCUGUAUUCUCCCUCUAAGUUGCGCUAGUAAGGGUUGAUUGACACCCCGAGGGAUAGAUUGAAGCCAAACCCCAUAUCCUUGAGUAUAGCCCAGAUUAUCCAUACUUUCUUUGAGUGUGUCCACACCCAGCUUUGUUGCAUGCUUCCAAAACUGCUCAUACUUGCUCUCACCUAAGGCUGGGUCCUUGAAGUACUCAACAUCCUUCAGAAGAUCCACUGCUGGUGGCACGUCCUGCAGCCUACCCAACUAGCGCAUUACCCUAGAAGGACUGUAUGGUCUAGUGCAAUUGAGCCCUAACAUAACUAAAGGGAUUUGCGUCUGACAACUCAACAAGAUUAUCUUCGGUCGAAUCCACAGAUAAGUCCACAAAAUGUUAGCCCCGGUUCUUGAUUCAAGAAAUUCAAUCCAAGCCUCGACUCUCACGAGUAGUGAGAAUUUAUCCAAACGCAACCUGGAGUUCAUGGCUUUCACUCGAUUUGGAAUACAACGAUCUAACACAUCUGGUCUAACUAAAGAAGGCCCAUGCAAAUGCUCCAUCACCCAUGACUGUAAUACUAGGUUACUCCCCUAAAAAAAUCUCCUUCCCCCCUUCAUUUCAGUUAAAGCCUUAUAUAUUUCCGUUAAGAUCAUGGGUAUGAGAGUGAACCUGCCCUUUUGAUUAACGCCCUUCUCAUUUUGAUCCUUAUGAAAUAGGGCCAUCACUACAUAUUGCAAACGGGUAUUAAUACGUCUUUCUUCUAGUGGAAACACUAAAAUACCUAACAAAGCGAGAGUAAAGACUUCAAGAUGCUUUCUCUCCCACUUCUCCUUAGUCACAUGAAAUUCAUCCCAAAAGCAAUCAAAACCUUCCGAGGGCCCGAAUCUAGCGAACAAAAAAUCUAAGGAAACCCACGAAUCACUUAAACAACCCAAACGGAUACCCUUACUUUUUAAACCACAAGACUGCAAAAAUCUCACGCCAGUAUGAUUUCGUGCUCGGAUCAUAUCCUUCUCGAUAUAGGACAAAUACAACAAACCGGAUAUUUCUGCCAAAGUAGGAGUCAUUUCACAUUCCCCAAACCUCAAUACCAUACUACUCGGAUCCCAAAAGGUCAACAAAGCCUCUAUUAAAUCUGGACGAGGGGUAACAUGCAGAAGUUCCGUAAGAUCACCUAAUAUUUUAACCAGUUUCUGCUGAUCAACAUAGUUAAACAUUUCCCACCAUUUGAUUAACUUUUUGGGCACCUUGAAAACCAUCAAAACUCUAGACUUGGUGGACAAAUCCAUCCUGUAAUAACACACAAGACGUUAUCUCAAAAAAUUCGACAGGAGUAGAAGAUUCCCAACCCCUUGAGAUUUUUGACGCAAACAUAUCUCGAUGGGACAGACCAUAUCUGUACUCCAAUUUGCCGAACAAAAGUACUGAGCGAAAUCAGUCUACUUGGCAAACAACUCUAGAUUUUAGGGCGAGAGACCUAGGCUAAUACUAAGACAAAGGCCAACACAAAGAAUUACCGGACCAACCGAGGCUUGCCUACGCAUUCUAACCCAAGGGAAGGGAAUCAGGUAUGCGUAGUUCAUCCAGAUUGGACAAUUAACGAUUAACUAAUAAAUUGACCCUAACUUAAGAGACACUACCAAAACAAACGAAUAAAAACUUUUUUGGAUUUUCAACUAGACACUUCAACUAAGACUGACACCACUAAUUAUGUAGAAAAAUAUUUUUGGUAUUUCGUUUAUGACAAAUAGGUAGAAAAGACAAACAAAACCCUCUUUUUUCAUUUUUUUUUAAAUUUGUUUAUUUAUUUAUUUAUUUUUUGAAUUUAUGGUACUUUGAGAAGACAAAUGCAAAACGUAAAAAAAAAUCUUUUUGAGUUUUUGAAUUGUGAAGAAUCAAAGCCAUAAAGAAUUCUAAAAUAAACUACGACAUUCCUCUCUUUUUUUUUCGACUAACUUUUUCUAUUUUUCUUUUCCAUUUUUGCCUACGCACCUUACUCCUAACAAAUUUUUUUUUUCAAAAAUCAGUCCGUCAAAUGACCACGUUACCCUUAAAAAUGCAGCAGUUAGCACGUAGGGAUGCUUUAGAGGUGAGUCUCCUACAAAGGGUCAUGUGGGUCCCGCUAGGUCUCCGGAUGAUGCACAUAAGCAUGACCUAAAGGCUGACCUACGUUGUGGUUUACUAACAAGGCUGUUCAGGUGAGCCUAUGGUCGAUAGUUGCUGGCCUACUCCAUAACACCGACGGCUCCCCCCCUAGAAUAGGGUGACUUAACUAGAGGUUGCGUACAACACGUGUACUACGGACUUGUUGCAGAAAGAAGGCCGGGGGGUGGACUCAUGAUGAAAGAUAUAAAGCGGUAACACAUAGAAUAAAUACUAUAAACAAAGAGCACGAAAAAGCACAAAAGUGAAAAUAACACAAACAAUAACCACAAACAAUGCUUAUACACUCGUAAUGCCAAACAAAGUUGAUACGACUCCAAAAAUAGCUUGAAUUCUGAAAACUUGUCAUAGCGCCCCCAGCAGAGUCGCCAGAGAUGUCACACCCCUUUUUUACGUACUCCAAAAAAGAUUUAUGUUUUUAAGUUCGAAAGGGUUUUAUUAUUUAAGUGACAAGAAAUGAAAAUUUGUUUUGGAAAAGGAUUAUUAACAUUUUUUAUUCAGAGUCGCCACUUGGCAUAAUNNNNNNNNNNNNNNNNNNNNNNNNNNNNNNNNNNNGGUACAUGAUACCUCGGGGCAUUCCCUGGUGAAUAAAUAUAUACAGAUACUUCGGGGCAUUCCCUGGCCAAAUUAUACAAUUGAUUCAAAAGUGCUAAAAUCAAUCCAUUCAAUCAAAUUUCAAACAUUCAAUCAACCCGCAAUCUCUAGAUUUGCCUACCCGACCUACGUCUUGCCUAUUCCAAUGAGCGUAUCUAGAUACUACCAAAUUCAAUUAAUGUUUAUUUCAAGUCAAACAACUAAUGAAUCAAACUAAUCAAAGUUUACUAAUUAUAUCAAGUUUUCAAUUCUCGCCCACUUAUUCCCACAUGAAUUCAACUCUUUCAAUUCCUUCAUUCAUGUAAAUCAAUCAAUCAAUAUCAACCACAGUAAUCGCGAUUUCUCAAACACAAUAUCGAAAUAUAUCACCACGUCACAAUCAUCAACCAAACACAAUAUUCACUCCAACACAUCAAAUAUAAUAAACAUGAAAUAAAAGAGGGGAAUAGAAUUGGACCUCGAUUCGUAGCUUUCAAAUUCCAAUAUUAAUCGAGUGAAAAAAAAAUGAAGACCACGUCCGAAUAUCCCGAACAGAACCUCAAUUUUUCAAUCCGCAAAUUGUUCGACGGCUAAAUUGAUGACUUUAUUCCGAACAACUUGCAAUCAAUCGGAGCUCGCGAACCAAAGGAACCUCAACGACGAUCAAAUCUCAACUUCGAUAUACUUCCCUUCUGUUUCUAGUCACAAAUCUAAACCAGAACGACAACCACCACUUUUUCUUCUCGUUCUCACUAUUUUUACUCUCUCCCUCUCAAUCUCUUAUCCCUUUCGAUUCUCUCUAAUCACCUCUCUAUUUUUUUUUCGUGCAGUGUGUGAAGCGUUUCUCCGAUCAAACCCGUAUGUGUUGAUGGGUGGUAAGAGCUUCGUGAGUGGGUCUAUGUUCAAUCCAUGGUGAAGACCUUUUUUUUUCUUUAGAGUAUUCUGUGUGUUGUUCAAUGGAAACAAAAAUGGAGCUCCACUCUUGUUCGUGUGUCCCUCUGAAGAAGAAAAAGCCCCACCCCCUCCAGUCAGUGAGUGUGUGCAUACCUCUCUUCUCUAAAUGGAAAAUUCCAAAUUCCCCGUAUAUCCCUGUGGGUCCAUCUGUAUAUCCAUCCCUGUGAGUGUAUAUAUGUAUGUUUAUGAAUUGGAAAAAAAAUGGAGUCCUCCCCCCAUGUUCCAACCGAAUUCCUUUUGUAGGGGCGGAUUUUUUUGUGUAUAUCCUCCUCUUUGUUGCUAUUCUAGUGGAGUGUAUAUGUGUUCUAAACGUGAGGAGAGGGGAGCUGGCUAGGGGUGAGGUGGAUUAGGGGGUAGGGUAGGUGGGGUAGAGUGAUGUGUUUUAUUUUGAUUGGGUAGGUUGUUAGGAUGUGUUGUCAAUUUUUUGUUGGGUGGGUUGUUAGAAUAUUAGGAUAAGACAAAAUUAGUUAGGGAGUUGUUAUUUUUGUCAUUUUGUGGAGGGAUUAUCACACGGAUGAGGGUACACAGUAGGAUAAGGUAAACAAUAGGUAAAAACGAUAUCGGGGAGGGACGAAAUUAGGUGUCUAAAGACCUUUGUCACCCUUUUGUUUUAGUUGUCCUAUAUCCUGUACUGGAAAUGUUUUCUUUUAUAUAUAAGUGAUUUUUCUUAGUGAUAAAGUAUUUUCCUGGACAUUAUUGAGGAUUCUCUAUCUACUGCAUUCUAAUUGAGAAAGAGCUUUAGUGAUACACUCUUCUUUAUGCUUUUUUUUUUUUGCUCAUGGAUUGAUAUUCUUAUUGCCUACAAAUGUGAACAUUUUUAUUUCAUAAUUUAUCUAUGAGUGUAAAAUUCUUAAACGUGUAUUAAUUCCUUCAUUUCCUUUUCUUUUGCAUGAACCCGUUUGGGAGUCCAAAUGGACUUUUUCCCCUUGCAUUACGUGAUGGGCCUUGAGGCCCACUCUCUUUUUAGAAUACUUUCGAAAAAACUAAAAAGGCAACUUCGCAGCAUAUGGAUGCAAGGAGUCGAAAGAAGGGAAAUGGGUUAAAGUCCUAUUCUUGAAGCGACGACGAAACCCGAGCCUCGUUUUUCUUUAUUUAUUUGUUGUCGUUAUUUAUUUAUUGUUGUCGUUUUUAUUGUUUAUUUAUUUCUUUCUUUCAUUAUUCAUUCAUUUGGGCCUCGAAGCCAACGUUGUAAAUUUAAUACAGGUGGAACGGAUUUUAGGUCAAAAAGGCCCGAAAACUAGAUCAGGACAGAUGGAGUGGGUCGAAAGCCCAAUUAGACUAGGACAGGUCUCGAUUUGGGUCUAAUGGCCCAAAUUCUUUACUUUCUCCUUCCUUUCUCCUUAUAUGUGUUUAUUUGUUUAUCAGUUUCAUUUAGACUUAGUUAAAAUCCCUACUAAGUCGCCUAAAUCUAUUUUACAAAAGUUCUUUCUAAAAAGUCAAUCACUUUUCAAUAAAUUAAAUUUUUAGAAGUUAAUCAAAAGAUGUUUUCAAACAAUCCGGAUAACCGCAAGUUAGCGGACGUUUUAGGUGCCUAACACCUUCCUAAAACGUUAAUAGGAACCGCUUACUCAGAAUCUUCAAAAUCUGAACGAUUUUUUUGUUUUGGAUCGUUCAAAGUAUUUUAUAAAGGUUUCUUAAUUCCUUCUCAAAAUUAAGUGACGACUCUUCUCAAAAGUCAAAAAUUCUGCAAAACACUUGACAUGUUUGCUAAAAAUUUUAUCAAAAUAGUUGACAUGUUUAAGAAUUCAAGAGAUAAUUAAUUAUUUUUUUAAUUAUACGCAUAUUAAUUGAAGAAGAGUCAAUAAGGUAUUUAUUAGUCAAGUCGUAACCCUUAAUAAUUUCUCAUUUAAGAAUUGUGCAACAAGCAAAUAUGGUGGAGUGAGUAUAUCAGCAAAAUGGAGGAAUAUUUUCAGGUCCUUGAAAAUAAAGUUCCACAACAAAAAGAUAAUCUUAUGUAUCUAAAUUAAAUAAAUUUCCUAGUCAGUUCUAAUAAUAUCCAUGGUUCUAACUGAGAGUUCGAAGUUAAAAGGGAUAAUUUUUUCAAGCCUAGAAGUUAAAAUGAAUGAUUCUUUUUUUUAUGUAACAAAAUAGAUAGUUUGUUCAAAAAUGAGAAAACUAUAAUUAACACCAUCUAGCAAACGUUUGUUGAGCGAAAAAAAAAUAAUAGGGUUUACCCAAAAAUGGGCAAACCAAAUUUUCAUAAAUUUAUUUUAAUAGUUUGCCCAUUUGUGGGCAAACUAUUUUUAUUUGAGCAAACUAUGAUUCUUUUACUGAGAAAUUCAAUCGAUAAUUGAUUAAAUAUCACAUUGAUAAUAUUUCUGAAAUAAGUAUUUGCAAAAUUGUGAAUUUGGAGAACCGAACAAUCAAGAACCGAUUAAUUUAUACCGAUACACUUCAAUUGAAUCAAAGGAUAGGUAAAGACAUUAUAUAUUUUUUUCUAUUCUUUAAGGAUCGUUAUAACAUGUUUGAAUUAUAAAAAUUAUAAUUAUAUUAUUUUUUAGGUGUAACGCAUUUCCAGACAAUCCUACAUUGACUCAAUUCACAAAAAUUGUGAACAACAAUGAGCUAGCUAAUGAUGUAGUCGAUCAUAAAUCAAAUAGAGAUAGUUUAAAUGAUGAUGAUCAAACGUCGGAUGAUGAUGACAAUUCAGAUGAGGACGAUAUCACUAUUUCCUCACAUGAUGAUAGUAUUAAUUAUGUUCCGAACGUCAUUCCUUAUUUGGAUCAUACAGAAGAAGGCCUAAAUGAUUUUUCAUGUUUUAGAGAUAAUGAUUCUGUUCGGCUGCACUAUGAAACUCCAAAAUUUACAAUCGAAAUUUUUUGAAGUUGUCCUUGAUGAUUUCAUUUUACAAUAUUGAUUGCAUUUACAUACAUCCGUUUCAAUUGAUAUAUAGACAUUUCGAAUAGUAGAAUAAUAUGAUAGAUAAAUGGGAUAAAUGGAGUGAACAACAACACAUAUUUAUUAGUAAAAAAAUUGUUCCAUUUCUAAAAAAUUUGAAAUGACAAAAAGUUCACAUAAAUAAGAAUUUUUCCAGAAAUAUUAACAGUGAUGUUUAAGCAAUCAUCAAUCGAAUCUAUCAGUGGAAGAAUUAUAGUUUACCCAAAUAAAAGUAGUCUGCCCACAAAUCAAACUAUUAAAAAAAUAUUUAUGAAAAUGUGAUUUGCCUAUUUUUGGACAAAUCCUAUUAAUAUUUUUUUCCUCACCAAACGUUUGUCAGACGAUGUGAAUGGUGUUAGUUGUAGUUUGCCCAUUUUUGGGCAAACUGUCCGCCUUGUUACAUUAAAAAAAAACAUUUGUUUUGACUUCUAGAUUUAAAAAUUAUCCCUUUUAGCUCUGAACUCUCUAAAUGAAGACCUUCAAAUCUAAUAUGGAUGAAAAUUUACCCCAAAUACUUAUAUCAAAUUAAUAUAUGAUAUCUAUUUGCACACUAAAGUAUGAUUGUGAAAAAUAUGUAAAGUGAAUUUUUUGGAAGAAUGAGUAUCAUAGUUCUCUAGCUAAGUUUCUAGAAUAGUCUACUGAUGGAAUAACAUAGGUUCUUGUAGAGUGUUCUAGUGUAGUGUCUUGUAAAAUUAUCUAGAUAUUCUAGAUUAGUGGUAGAAGAUAAAGUUCACUAGAUUAUUCUUGUAUAUGUAUCUAGAAUAAUUUCUAGGUAUAAAUAGGGAUAGGUCUUGAUGCUACCAACCAAGAAACAACCAAAGAUAAAACCAAUUCAAGUAGUGUUCUCCAUAUUAAAGUUCUUCUUUCUCUUUACGUAGAUUUCUCUUCUUUAGUUGAAUCCUCCGAUCUUAGUUAAGGAUCUUGGACAAGCAAAAGAUUUCUCCAACUAUAUAUUUCUUCUUCUAUUCUCUACAAUGAUUAAUCAAAUUAUCCUUGAGGAGUAAUUCUGACGAUGGAUCAAUAUGAGGUAUGCCAUUAGCUGAUAACCUUUAACUGUUGUAAUCAAAUGUUUACACGAUAAAUAUAAUUUAAUUUGUGAGAAACUUUUUUUUUGUUUUCGAACUAUCUUCUGAACAGUUAUUACUAUAAAUUACUUCAUAUUACUUUGGAGUUAAUUAAACUGGUGGUAUACAAAAACGUUGCACACAAUCUACACACAGGGAACUAAGUUGAAGUACUUCUAAUUUCCUUCACAGCAGUGGGUUUUAGCGCUAAGAAGAACCUAACUUUAGCCUAGGUAAUUGUAUAUACAUAAAGGCAUUUUGUCAAGCCACUUUUAAACCAUCUAGUUGCUGGCAGUCUCUUGAAUAGUAUUAAGUAUAAAUAAAUUCCUACUAAGGUAUCCUUUCCCAACAAAAUGUCUUCCAUAAGAAAUAAUUAUUUUAUCAGCUUCAAAAAUAACUUUAAGACCUACUUUAUUUAGAAAUACUCCAGAAAUUAAAUUUUUACGAAGGAAGAAAAUAUAUAGAACAUUGUUCAAUACUAAUAUUUUACCAGAAGUUAAUUUAAGAAGAAUUUUUCCUUUACUCAUAACUUCCAGCGGUAAUGGAGUUACCCAUGUAGACGCACUCGCCAUCAGUGGAAUCGAUAAAGUCAUGAAACAACUUUUUAUUGGCACAGAAAUGCCUUGAAGUACCUGUGUCCAACACCCAGUCAGUCUUGUUAGCCACCAGAUUCGCCUCGACGACUAUACAACGAUCACUUUAUCACCCUCAACAAGAUGAACUUGGACAUCAUUUUGUCCUCCCUAUUUUGAGUUUUGUAAACUAUCACAUAUUUCUUUAGCAGAUUUGUAAGUAACAAAUAAAUCAAACAAGUUAUUAGUCACAUGACUCAAUAAAUGUCCUUUAGCAUUUUUGUUAUCCUUUUUAAACUUCUUUCGAGUAAAUUCGUCAACAACCAUAAUAGUGUUAGAACCAUCACUAAACAAAACAUAAUCAACUUCUAAUUGUUCCAACAUAAUCAGAAGUUUUUUUGACCAAUAUUUAAAAUUAUUUUCGUUCAAUGACUCAAGUUUUGACAAAUCAGAAAAAGUUUUGUUUAAAAAGAUAGUCAUUAAUCAAUAUUGUAUGUAAGGAAAUCGUUUUUAAAUUGUUGAAGAAAAUACUGCAAUAUUAAUAUAAAAUUGGAAUUAAUAAUAGUAAAAGAAUAGUCACAAAUACUGUGUCGUGGCAAGUCACUGCCUUGAAAGUGAUUUCGGCCUGACUUCGGUGCAAAUCCUUCUAAUCGUUUGCUUUCCAAGGUUCCACAGCUACUUACAAACACGUGCACUCAUGCCUGAAAGUUUGGAGGCUACCCAAACCAAUUGCUCAAAAAUAAUUCAAGAGGAAAAGGAAACUAGGAAGAUGUUUUCUUUUUCUUUUUUUUUGUCUUUUUAUCUUCUCCAAAGACACCUUUUAUAUAGGAUUUGAAAGUGGAGUUGCAAGAAUGAAACUUAAUGAUAUUAAAGUACCAUUAAUUUACAUGUUACAUAAUUCUAUUGGAACAAUAUUUAGAAUAGAUAUAUUCAUUUCCUUUGUAACAUAAAAGUUUAUUAUCUUUGCAUUAUACUAAAUGAAUAAAUGUAGAAUUAAUUCCAUACAGGAAACUUUGGAUCCUUUUCAAGAACACUAAUCUUUUCAGCAUCAGAAGCAACCCACAACUCUAUUAAAUUCUUGAAAAUUUCUCCAUGUACCCAAAAAAAGGCCUGGUUCUUAGAAAACUAUAUUUUUGUGAUGCAAAUUAUACUUGGAUUUGGGCUGGCAUAUGCAAGAAACUCUGAAUCCUUUUCCAGAACCCUUAUCUCUUCAUCAUCAGAAGCAACCCACAACUCUAUUCCUUCUCGACAUGCACUUUCUAGAAACACAAAUUGUUGCUUGGAUCUCACAUGAGCAUCGGGUAAAUCCCCCAUAUGAGCAACCCAAACAGGCUUUCCCCACCCAAAAUUAACAUCAUAUAGCCCCAUAUUGCACCAACUUGUGAAUCUAAAAAUCUUUAUAUUCUCAAUAGUUGACCAACUUUCGAGCAGCUCGUUGAUCGAUGCGAACGUGCAUUCACUGUCUAUACCUGUAAUUAAUGAAAUAAAUGUUAGUACUUGUACCCAAACUUGUUGAACUUUUAAAUCAAAAUUAUAUGUAUGUAUACCUUUAAUGUUCUCGGCAGUUAAUUGGGCAAACACCUCCCUUAGCAUUAUUGCCAGAUCAGGCAGCUCCAUGUUAGUGUCUAAAGGGUCAUAAAAAGCAAAUGGCAACCAAAGAAGGUUCCCAAAAGAUUUUUGGGGCAAAGGUGGCUCAGCGCGAGGCCUCAGAUUAGCUGCAUGCGUGAUAAGUAAAGUCUUUGGUGCAUCCAUGAGGGAUUUAGAGGCUGUUGCAAUCCGUUUGCAAAUGAAAGCUGUCAAUGCUUCAAUUUUAGAUGGAAAAGGAAGGGUUUUACUAGAGGUAUUAGCCUUGAGAGCCUUUAUGGCUUUGGACUCAAACAAGAAUCUUCUCAUAGGAGAUUUAGAGCCUUGGAAAUAGAAGUCCUCGGAAUUCCUUUGGAACUUUAUUGGUAAUGAUUCUAUCGGAGGGAAUAAAGAAACAGCUGAAGUGAAGUCUGGAUACAGUGUUUCAUCUCCUUCACCAUGGCUCAGCUUGGCCCAUGUUUUCAAGAAAGUACUCAUCGUCGAUGCAUCAACAACCUAUUAUGUUGGACAAAUUAUUAUAGUAUUUCCUCCAACAAUACUUAUCUACUCCUUUUUUGAUUUGGCAUAUAUACAGGUUAAGGAAAAAUAAAUAAUAAGGGUAAUUUAUGAGGCGAAGCCAGAAUUUCAUGUUUGGAAUUCUAAAAAUUAAAUUAAAAGGGAUGAAGGUUGAUAUAAAUAACAUUUAUUCUUGAAAAUUUGAUUUUGGAACUUGGAUUUGAGUGUUUGUGAAAGAAAAAAAUAGUUUUUCAUUGAGAAACGAACGUUUAUAAGCAAACGUACAUACAAGGUAGAAUAGCAAUUACUAUAGUUCUUUUUAAACAGAAAUCUACACAUAUAAUAGCAAAAAAGCACAUCAAAGUAUGUUAAGAGUGGAUUUCCACCCACACAGUUGCAAGACAGAGACCUUUUGCAGCCUCUUCGGUAUUACUGAACCAUUUGUUUGAUUAUGCAAGUGGAUUCAGAUGAUAAAAGUUACGUAGUAUAAGCUUAUUGGAAUUUCUAAUGGAAAUAUAGGGUCUACGAAAAAGUUAUUGGGUUCAUUCGAACCCCAUGUUUUAUCAUCGCUUCGUUCCUAAUUUUAUCAUGUUAACCUUUGACUAUAAUAAAUUUAAUGCAUUAAGUGAUAAAUAGUAAUUAAUAGUAAGGGUAAAAUGUGUAGAAAAGAGUAAAUUAUUCAUUGAUUUUUCAACACAAGUAUUAUUGACAUCUAUUUUUAGUAUAGUGGACAAGUAUUAUUAGACGAAGGGAGUAACAACAAAUAUAAAGGUUUUGGGGGGGCAUGAAACACUUUCCUUAACAAAAAUGUAUUACUCCCUCGGUUUUAAAAAAUGACCUAUUUUGACUUUGACAUCAAAUUUAUAAAAAUAAAGAAUAUUUUUAAAUCUUGUGAUUUUAAAUUAAAGUUAUGUCAAAUAUAUCAAAAUAUUAUUUAAUCUAGUGAUUUCAAACAUGUCAUGUGAGAAAACUAGAACUAAAAUAUUAUCAAAAAGAUAAAGAUCAUUCUUUUUUCAAAUAGAUGAAAAAUAAUAGAUCAUUCUUAUUUAAACGGGAAAAAAAGUUUCAAUUGUUUUGAAGACGUGUGAGCUGCAAAUUCACUUACUAUUAACUUCCCCAACAAGCUAAGGCAUAAAUUAUUAUAGACUCGAAACAAAGCAACGCCAUCCAAAUCAACUAAUACUAUCGUUUCUCAGGAUCAUAAAUCUUGCGAAAUUGGUUUUGCAGGCAUAUAAAUAUCUUUUAGUCCUAUAUCCAUUUUAUAAGAGAUCUCAUCUUUUACACAAUUUUUUUUUUAAAAGGCCAUUUAAAAAAAAACAAAAUAUUUUGUAAUUGGCCAAGAGAACUUAAUUUCUCGUCUUUUUUUUUAAUGUGAACAGCGCUCAAACUCAUUUUUGUCUUCAAACAUGGGACAAAUUCACUAUAUAUAUAUAUAUAUAUAUGAACACACACACAUUGUACAUACUCCCUCCACUCCUUUUUAAGUGCAUGGUUCGAUUUUUUAGAGUCAAUUUGAUUAAUUUCAAAGCUAAAUUGAAUUAGAUUAAGUCAAUUUUUAAAAUUAAAAUUUUAAUAUUCCAAAACUAUAUGAAAAGUAUUAUAAAUUGCAAUUUUUCUCUUUUCAUUUUGAUUAACGAAUACAUCUUAAAAUAAUGUUGAUCAAAAUUUAUAUCAUUUGAUUUAAAAAAAAAAAAAAGAAAACUAUGCACUAAGAAUGGAGGGAGCACUAUGUUACUCCAGUACUAGGAGUAUGUACGUAAAAUUAAGGUAUAGAGGACGACAACCUUGUGAAGCAUGCAAACUCCAAUGGCUAUUCCACCACAUUCAAAAGUGGUGGUUUGGAGAGCAAGGAGAGGUUGAUUAUAACAUGGCUGUAGGCAGUUGCCAUUGCACGGAAGGAACUUGUUAAGGAAUGGGAUAUCAGGAUUUUCAAGAAACUCUGAGAGAUUAAAGUUUGCUUGGGCUUCCAUGUAUACAACUCCCUCGUCACUGCACUCAAUGGAGUAAUGUACAUCUUUGAAUCUGCCAGCAAGAGGAUAGUAAUAGCUUAGAGUUUCAGCCAGGGAUUUCUUGACAACUAGUUGGGGUACCUCAAAUUCAUCAACAUUAUCUUCGGCAUUGUAAAAGAGAAUGACUGGGAUGUAUGAACAAGGAGUAAAUUGGUCUAGGAAGGAGAUUUUGUAGUUCCUCAAGUGAUGAGGAGUUUGUAUAGAGGGCUUUAUGCUUUCCUUGGAGACAACUUUAACCUCCAUAUUUUAAUGAAUGUACGUGAUGAUAAUCGUAGAUUUUUGGGUCUCUUUCAAUAUUCGAUCUCUCUAAUCUCUUAGGUGGCCUUUUUAAGGAAAUUGAAGUAAACGUGAAGACGCUAGCUGGCCAAUUUACUGACCACAUAAUUAAAGAUUACCUAACUUGAUUUAAUAGAGCUAGGGUUCAGAUUCAUCAUAAGUUGGUGACCGAUUAUCAGUCGUCAGCAAUUCAUUCUUUGCAUAAGAAAAUUGGGCUUGGGAAAGAAAGACUUCGGCCAAAUUUUCAGAAAAUCAAUGCGUGAGACGUGGAAAGGGUGGGAAAAAAACUUUCUUUUACAAUUUUUUUAUGAGAAGAAAAAUAAAGUAACAUGCCAUCACAUUAAUAAUUCCUUCCAUAAAAUGAGACUUUUUAUUAUGCAUAACAAUAAAUUUAAUAAUAUAAUUUAAUAAAUUUUAAAUAACAAUCAAUAUAAACAUUAUACGGAAGAAACUACAAAAUACAAUCGGUAACAACCAUCCAAAUCUAUUUUGGCCUAGUUGUUCCCAUUUAAGAAGCUUUUUUUUUUUUGUAACUUUACAAAUCAAUUUGUUUUCACUUUAAAAAAAAUUAAUUGCAAGAGUGAAAUGAUUUUUUUUAAUUAAUUUCAUUUUAAUUUGAUAAAUUAAUAAGUAAUUAAUUUGGCAAAACUAUUUAAAAUAGAGAGAAGUAUCAAUUAUCCUCCUGAAGUUGUCUCGUUUUAUAAAUACCCCUGAACUUAUUGAUUUAGUAGGUCGCGUGCCCCUUUUGUGGUCCAAAAAUCAUAACGUAUAAAACACGCGCGUACACGUGAAAAAAGUUGUUUAUGUGUCUAUCCACGUGGAUAAAUACCAUUCACUUCCCUCAUAUUUAUAAUAUAUCAAAAAAUAACCCACUUCUACCCUUAAUUAUCCAAUCUUUCUCUAAAAAAUUGUGUUUUUGAGUUUUUUCCUCUGCUCCGAAAUAGUGAAAGGUUGAAUUUUCAUCGAUCAAGUAAGCUAUUAUCUAAAAAAAUUAUGUUUUUUGUCUUAAAAAUAUGAGAUUAUUUUUUUCGAUUAGUGUUUCAUAGUAGUUUCCGAUUACUAUUUCGAUUAGUAUUUUGAGGAGACUCACAUGCACAAUUACAUUUCCUAUUAUAAUUAAUGGAGUAAGAAAUCACAAUUUAAAUUAGGGGUGUACAAAAAUCGAACCGAUAAAUGUUAUUGAUUUAUUGUUAUUGGGUUAACAAUUUUUUUAAUGAUUUUAUAAAAAAAAAUUAUUGGAUUAUUGGUUCGAUUUCGAUUUUUUUAAUUGGGUUAUUGGGGUAAACCAAUAACCCAAUAAGAUUAUACUAAAUUAUUAUUAUUAUUGGGUUUAUUAUUAUUUCAACUAAGAUUCAGUUUCUUUUCAUGUUAAUUACUACUUUUUUUAUUUUAUGAGUAUUUUCUUAUCGGUUAAAUAAAAAAUCGAACCACUAAGGACCUAAAAUCGAUAAAAAAAUAUCUUAUUGAUUUAAUUAUUAAUUUAACGUAUUUAAAAAUCAAAAAUCAAUAAACUGAAUCGAUAAUAUAAAAAAUCGAAAUGAACCAGUCGAUGCACAACCUAAUUUAAGUAGGUAAAUAGAAGCAAUUGAAAUUCUUUUUUUAUACAUUUUGAAAGUGAUGGAGGAAGAAGAACAAUAAAUAGAAAGAGAAGAGAGAAGGGUUUGAAGUUUUUGAAAAAAUUAAAGAAAAAUAGGUUUUUUCGCGUUUAAUUGUUCAAACAAUUUUAGUAGGUAAUUGAUACGCCUCUCUUUAAAAUAAUAAGAAUGACUAAUACCGAAUAAAGAAAGUACCUAGUACAGAGCUUUCAAGUCUUGAGCAACAAACAUUAAUUCUACACAAUCCAUGUGCAAUCCUUCUUUGGUUGAACAUGAGUGCCCAGACCAUAGUGAUUAGGCAACUUCUGUUGAUUUUAACAAAAAGUAGUGUGUCAUUUUUUGGUCAGUCAAGUUUUUGAUGCUUACCUCGGACAACGAACAUAGGUAAGUAGUGGUGGGCAUAGUAUGGUACCGUAUUUUAAAUUUCGGUAUGAUAAUUUUAAUUUUUGAAAUUUAAAAGAAUAAUAUCAUUAUCAUAUCAAAUUAGUUCGGUAUGGUUUGAUAUUUUUAAAUUCGAUUUCGGUAUUUUAUGAUAUGAUAAAUCGGUAAUCAUACUUUAUUUUAUUUCGACUUAAAUAUAUUCAUACAAAAAAAUUAUAACUUUAAACUUUAAAAACGUCUCAAUCAUAUCAGACUAACAACUAUCUUUGUUAAUCAAUUACACAAAAAUAACAUUUCAAUCACGAUUAAGUAGUCCAAGAUGCAAACUUUGAACAACAUGACCUAAAUUUAAGCAUAGUACUCUGAAAUAAUAAGUUUUCCAAGAAAUUUAUUUCUGAUUAAAAAUUACUUUUAUGUUCAAUUGGCUAAUGGAUGACAUAUAAAUAUAUUUAAUAAUUUUAAAUAUAAUAUAUUUAAUUUUAUAUAUUAUUAAAAAACUUUAGUGUGGUAUACUGUAUUUCGAUAUUUAUUGCAUAAAUAUCAAAUACCGUAUCAAAUACCAAUAUAAUUUAAAACUACUACCAAAUACCAUAACAUCCAUACCGCAGUAUAAAAAAAUUCGAUUUCGAUAUGAUAUUAAGUAUACAUCAUACCAUGCCCAUCCCUACGCUAGUACAUCAUUCUCAGACUGCCUUUCUGCUCAAUCGUCGAACAUCGAGCAAUGCCAUAAUUAUGCAAGAAAUUCUUCACCACUUUUAAAGAUUCUGGGUUCGAUGCUCUCUUCAAGUUGUUUUGAGCUCUCAGAAACUGUGUCAAUUCAUGAAUUUGUAUUUAUAUUGAUCAACCUAGUGUCUUAUUUCUUUGGGAAAAAAAAAGGUGGAUGCUUUAGUAUGCUCCUUAAAACUGACCUGAAAAAGGUGAACUGACCUGAAAAAGGUCUUUUGAUAAACUUGAAUGGGUUUUAUUCAUCACUCGUUAUGCCUUUUUAGGUUCCCUAGCAAGCUCAUACGUCUAAUAAUGUCUUGUGUUUCCACUAGCAGAACUUGAAUAGGUUUUAUUCACCCCUCUUUAUGCUUUUUUAGGUUCCCUAGCAAGCUCAUACGUCUAAUAAUGUCUUGUGUUUCCACUAGCAGGAGUACUGUUAUAUUUCUCAAUGGCACCAAAACUGAAUUUUUCAGUUCAUACGCGGGGAAUCUGUUACACUAAUUAGCUAAUUAGAAUUGGAAAUUGCCAUGUCAACAAUUAGCUAAUUAAAAUUGAAAAUUGCCAUGUCAGCAAAAUCUGUUAUAACUGACAGUUAGUUAAACUAGUCACUGUUCAUUACUGUUACAUUGACAUAUUGUUCAAGAAAGGUAGUUGAGCUAAGUUAGUUGAGAAUUAGAGGGAGUGGGUCAAUUCUACAAUUAUAUAUAAACUAGUGAAGUGUACGAGAGUUUUAGAAUAAUACAAUUCAUUGCUUUCUUCUCUAAAAUCUCUCUUCUCUUCUUAUUCUCUUCUUCUUUGUUCUUAACUUGUAGUGUUGUUCUGCAAUAGCUUAUUCCAAAUCCUUGAAUCGUCAAUGAUUCAAGCUAUUUGGGUAACAUUGGUAUCAAAGCUUUUCGUUCCUUGGAACAAUGACGAAAAGUAAUAAGGGAAUUGAUGGAGCAACUAGUAGUGAAAUGGGUGAACUAAGGAGAUGAUGCAAAAAGUUUUGACAAAGGUGGUAACUCUGGCAGGAAAAGUGUCGACUCUCAAGGAAUUGGAUCAAGCAGUAAUGAAAAUUAGGGAUAAAUUAGCCUCGAUAGGUGAAAAUCAAAGGGGUAAAUCUCCUACAAUUGUUCAAGAAAGGGAAGGCUUAAAUGAUGCACUUAGGGAGUUUGAUGAAAGAUCAUAAAGGGAGAAAAGUACAGGAAGUUACAACAAUCAUCAUUUCCAAUUCUCAAGGUGGUCACGGUUGGAUUUCUUGAAGUUUUCAGGAGAGGAUUUGAGGUCAUGGUUGUGCAAGGUGAAGCUGUUUUUUAAUAUGGAAAAUGUUCUCAUGGAUGAGAGGGUAAAUGUUGCAUCCGUGCAAUUUGAGGGUGAAACUGUCCAGUGGCACUUAGCUUUUAUGAAGUAUAGGCAGUACUUACAUCCUCCAACAUGGAGUGAGUAUGUUAUGGCCUUAGCUGAAAUAUUUGGGUCAGACUAUGAUGAUCCCGUGGAAGAAAUAAAGAAGAUGAGGAAACAGGAUCUGUGAAAGAUUAUCAGGCUAUUUUUGAAAGAUAUCUAACUAGAGUCAACCUAUCAGAGAAAAAUGUUAUCUUAGAGGAUUAAAGAAUGAGUUGAAUAUGGCAGUAAAUAUAGCAAAUCCUAGGACUUUAUCUCAAGUCUACAAAUCAGCAAGGAUGCAAGAGGCAUAUUGGGAGGCUAUGAAGCAACUUGUUCAGAAUUUCAAUCACAAUAGGAGGUAUGAUCAAAGGUUUUAAAGUAAACCUCCCUUAUUACCUACUCCUACUAGCAAUGUAGUUGCACCAACAUCUAAAGGGGUCAGUAAAAGGACUUUGAGUCCUGAAGAAAUGAAUGAGAAGAUAUCCAAAGGGUUAUGUUACAUCUGUAAUGAGAAGUGUGUAUUUGGUCACAAGUGCACAAACUUGAAACAAUUGUAUUUGAUAGAGGUAGUAGAGCAUGAAGAAGUAGAAAGUGAACAUGAAGAAAAACUUCAAAUGAUAAUGAAGAACGAUUGGAAUUGAUUAGGCCCUUAGAGAAUACGGAAAUCUCUGUUCAUGCCCUUAAUGGAUCAUUAGGAUUCAGGACAGUAAGAGUGAUUGGUUACCAUUCAAAGAAACCUCUCUAUAUUUUAGUAGACACGGGUAGUUCACAGAAUUUCAUUGAUCCGGAGGUUGUGAAGGAGCUAGGAUGCCAAGUGACAUCUACUACUCCUCAGGCAGUGACUGCACCUAAUGGUAAUGACAUGCAAGUGAGUAAGAUGUGCAGACUCUCUUGGCUAUUACAAGGGGUGGAGUUUUCAGCAGAAUUUUUGCUCUUACAAUUAGGGUCUUGUGGAGUGUUCUUAGGGGUGCAAUGGCUAUUAACUAUUGGAGAUAUCGGGAUGAAUUUCAGGGAUUUAACAAUGGAGUUUUGGUAUAAAGGGAGAAAACAUAUUCUCAAAGGAGUUGGCAGACAAAUUAAAACCACGGGAGCUGGAAAGUUAGCUAAGAUAUCAGGUAUUAACUCUUAAUUGUGCAUGAUUUAAGUUGUGCCUUCUAUGACUUGUACAGAUCAAUGGCAUUCAGUUGAGGCUAAGGAAAUCUUUGAGGGUGAUCCUAGAUUGAUGAGUCUCUUACACAAGCAUAAGACCUUGUUUAAAGAACCCCAACAAUUACCUCCAUCUAGGGGAAUCUUUGAUCAUAGAAAUAGUGUUGUACAACAAUAAUGAACCUACUAACAAGAGGCCUUACAGAUAUUCUUCUGUUAAGAAGGACAUUAUUGAGGGAUUAGUUCAGCAGAUGUUGGAUCAAGGGGUGGUGCAACGUAGUUAUAGUCCAUUUGUAGCUCCAGUACUAUUGGUUGGUAAGAAAGAUGGUACGUGGAGAUUGUGUGUUGAUUGUCGAGACUUGAACAAAUAAACUGUCAAGAACAAGUUCCCAAUUCCAGUUGUUGAAGACUUGUUGGAUAAGCUUGGGGGUUCUGUAAUUUUUUCUAUGAUUGACCUUAAAUCUGGUUCACCAGCUAAGGAUGGGAAUUGAUGAUAUACCUAAAACAGCUUUCAGAACUCAUUCUGGGCAUUUUGAAUAUGUGGUUAUGCCUUUUGGGCUAUCAAAUGCACCUGUUUCAUUUCAGGGCUUGAUGAAUGUUGUAUUCAAGGAAUUUCUGAGGAAAUAUGUCCUUGUAUUCUUUGAUGACAUAUUAAUAGACAGCAAAAGUAUAGAUGAGCAUCUAGAAACUUGAGUUCUGUUUUUGAGGUUAUACAACAUCACCAGUUGUUUGCUAAGCACUCCAAAUGUUUUUUUGGAGUCAAAAAGAUUGUGUAUCUAGGUCAUUUCAUCACUCAAGAGGGAGUGUUUACAUAUCCUCUGAAGAUUGUUGCUGUAAGAGAUUGGCCAACUCCAAUAACUAUUAAACAGUUGAGAGGUUUUCUUGGAUUAGUUGGGUAUUAUAGAAGGUUUAUUCAGGGUUUUAGGACUUUGUCAAGACCUUUGAAUGAUUUUCUAAAGAAAAACAAGUUCAAGUGGAAUGAUGAAGCUUAUAAGGCACUUACACAACUUAAGGAGGCAUUGACAAAAGCAUUUGUAUUAGCUCUGCCUGACAUAACUAAGUUGUUUGUAGUGGAAACUGAUGCUAGUGGAGUAGGGAUUGGGGCUGUACUAAUGCUAGAAGGUCACCCCAUUGCAUUUAUUAGUAAAGGCCUUUCACCUAAACAUGCAACCUUAUCAGUAUAUGACAGAGAACUACUUGCUAUUGUACAUGUUGUAACCAAGUGGCCACAUUAUCUCUUGAAUCAGAAGUUUGUCAUUAGAACAAAUCAAAAGGCUUUGAAGUAUCUAUUAGAGCAGAAACUACAUACUAAUUCACAGUUGUUGUGGCUCACAAAACUCAUGCCCUUUGACUAUGUCAUUGGAUAUAAAAAAGGGGUAGAAAACAAGGUGGUUGAUGCCUUGUCUAGGGUGCAGGGUGUUGAAUUAAUGACUUUAGUGCUCUCUAAUACUAGUUUUGAUCUUCCACAAGCUAUCGCAGCCAGCUGGGAAGGUGAUCCUGCUUUGCAGCUUCUCAUUACAGAACUCAUGGCUAAUCCAAAUUUCCAUAAAUAAUUUAUUUGGCAUCAUAAUCAACUCAGAAGGAAAGGAAAGUUGGUGGUGGGUAAUGUACCUCAACUUCGACAUGAUAUUAUUUCCUUUUGUCAUUCAUCUGCUCAAGGGGGACAUUCAGGUGUAGAAGCCACUCUUAAGAGACUGUUAACUCUUUUUUACUGGAAGGGUAUUAGAGAUGAUGUGAAGUUGUUUGUCCAGCGGUGUGAUACUUUUCAAAAGAAUAAGGCUGAUUUAGCUGCUUACCCUGGCCUACUACAACCAUUUCCCAUUCCUGAGGUAGUUUGGUCCCAAAUCAGCUUAGAUUUUAUUGAUGGUCUGCCUAAAUCCAAAGGAUAUGAAGUCAUUCUAGUAGUUGUGGAUAGGCUUAGUAAAUAUGCUCGUUUUCUACCUCUGAAGCACCCUUAUACUGCUCAGUCCGUAGCUGAGGUAUUCAUGGAUACAGUGGUUAAGUUACAUGGAUUACCUGAUGCCAUAACUAGCGACAGGGAUAUUGUUUUCCUCAGUAAUUUUUGGCAAGAAUUAUUCAACUUACAAGGAGUUUAAUUGCACACUUCCUCAACUUAUCACCCUCAGUCCGAUGGUCAAACUGAAGUGCUAAAUAGAAGCUUAAAAACUUACUUGAGAUAUUUUUGUAGUGAGGAACCUCAUACUUGGUUCUCUUUCCUGGCUAUGGCUGAAUAUUGGUACAAUACUUGUUUCCAUAGUGCUAUUCAAACGACUCUCUAUGAGGCACUUUAUGGAAGGCCAUCUCCAUUAUAUUUACCUUAUUGAAUCAGAGGUGGAUGCUACUUUGCUUAACAGGGAGAUGAAGUUGGACCUAUUAAAACACCACUUGAGGAGGGCUCAAUUGAGAAUGAAACAACAGGCAAAUUUGUAUAGAAGUGACAGAGUUUUUGAGGUUGGUGACUGGGUGUAUCUCAAGAUCCAUCCCUAUAAACCAACUACUGCUUCUGGCCAUCCCUUCCAUAAGUUAGCUGCCAAGUACUAUGGGCCAUUUCAAAUUCUGAAAAAAGUGGGAUCAGUGGCUUACACUCUUGCUUUUCCUGAUACUAUUAAGAUUCAUCCCACUGUCCACGUGUCCUUGUUAAAGAAGUGCUUUGCAUUGCCUACUCAAAUUUCACUACUCCCUGUCCUUGACAUUACUCAACCUCUUUGUCCCAAUCCUGAAACUAUUCUUCAGAGGAGAAUGGUCAAGAAAGGUGGAAAAGCUGUGGCACAAGUUUUAGUCAAAUGGGAAGGCUUACCUGCUGAUGAUGCUAGCUAGGAGUUCUAUGAGGCCUUGAAAGUCAGAUUUCCUCAUUUUUAUCCUUAAGGACAAGGAUCUCUUUUGGGGAGGGAGUAUUGUUACACUAAUUAGCUAAUUAGAAUUGGAAAUUGCCAUGUCAGUAAAAUAUGUUACAACUGACAGUUAGUUAAACUAGCCACUGUUCAUUACUGUUACAUUGAGAUAUUGUUCAAGAAAGGUAGUUGAGCUGAUAGUUAGUUGAGAAUUAGAGGGAGUGGGUCAAUUCUACAAUUGCAUAUAAACUACUGAAGUGUACAAGAGUUUUAGAAUAAUACAAUUCAUUGCUUUCUUCUCUAAAAUCUCUCUUUUCUUCUUAUUCUUUUCUUCUCUGUUCUUAACUUGUGGUGCUAUUCUGCAAUAGCUUAUUCCAAAUCCUUGAAUCGUCAGUAAUUCAAGCUAUUUGGGAAACAGAAUCAGAUAGGAAGACCCAUUGUCUCAUUAUCUAUUCAUUCUUUGCAUUGAACUCCUUUCUCGUAGCAUAAAUCUUGAUGUAAAUUGCAAUUUAUGGAACUCAAUCAAAUUUAAGACUCAUUCAACCCUUGUCUCACCUCUUCUUCAAUGAUGACAUUAUUCUAACCUGCAUGAUCAAUCCUUCGAGUUCCAAAGCUAUGCGCGAUCGCCUUGACCUCUUUUUGUCAUUCGGGUCAAUCCACCAAGUGUUCGAAAAUCAAGGAUUUUCUUCUCCAAAUCUGCCUCACUUGCUGACAAGGCUCUCGUUUUCGCUCACUUCAACAUCCAGGAGGGCACCCGCUACCCACUUUGAUAAAUACUUAGGUUUUUCAAUUGGCCAGGAUCUCCUCAAAGUAGGCGAUUUUAAUUCCUCCUUGAUUCGGUUUGGCUGCGCCUUGUGGGUUGGAAAGCUAACCAACUAUCCAUAAAAAGUUCGGCUAAUCCUUAUUCAAAUCACGCUAAAUGUGAUGCUAACCAUGUGAUGCAAUUCAUUAAGCUCCCAACUGAGGCAAUGAACCACCUUGAGUGUUUCGAACAUAAUAUUUUUAUGCUCCCAACUGAGGCAGUGAACCACCUUGAGUGUUUCAAACAUAAUUUUUCAUGGGGCUCUACUUCACAACACCUCCAGCUACACCUACUGGUCUGGGAUCAAUUUACAAAAGUUAAAGUCGAGGAGGGUUGGGAAUUCAAAAACUCCGACCAAAAAAUGACCCACUCCUCGUCGCCUCUUUUUGGCGACCGUUUCAAAAUCCUAACUCUCUUUGGACAUCUGUCUCGCUAUCACCGUACAUUCCCUACUUCGGAUCUCGUGUACAUACCCUUCCGUGAUUUGGAAAUCAUUCCUUCGGAGAUGGAACAUCUGUCAAGAAGGUCUUGUAUGGAAAAUCGACACUGGAUGCCAUGUCAAAUACAAUUCUGGAUAGAUUCCUGACUCGAUUCAAAGAUUCUUCUCCGAAUACUACACCGCACCAUCAACCUUCACGUGCACCAGCCUUACCACGGUUAAUUUUCUAUGCCUUCUUAAUUUGGCACAUAUGGUUGACUCGAAACAAGAAUACCUUUGACAAAAGCAAGCUUCGACUGACUCUGGACGCUAUCAGUACUCUUGGUUGCGAAAUCUAUCGAGCAUUAUAUUAUCUCAUCUCAUCCACCGCUUCACGCAAACACCAUAAGUAUCGAACACUUCCCAUGCUCAACCUGACACUACCUACCUCCACAUUGAUGCUGCAGCACCAACAUCUUGUGAGUUAGCAGGUAUCGGGGGUUCUCAAAACCAGUUUCGGUAAAUGAUUAUUAUGAUUUGCAGGCCCAAUUACUGAAACGUCUACUAUUACGCACAAACUUUUGACACUACUACCUCGGCUCGAACUGACACACCAACACGAUUAUGUUUCUUUUAAGCACAGUAGUGGAUUCUUCAGAGGUUGUGAACAUCUUAUUUGAUCCAAUUCCUAUCUAGUCACAUAUUAUUGACGAUUGCAUGUCCCUCCAGAAGAUACUCCAUGAUCCACCUAUCUAUCACAUAUAUAGAGAGUUCAACAUAAUAGCUAAUAGUUUGAUAAAUUUUAAUGUUUCAAAUACAAAAAGCAGGAUCAUGUUUUUAUUCGAAGCCCCUUCCUUUAUUCUAAAGCUCCUAAAACAUAAUAGGAAAGGCUUUAAUAACAAUAUGAUCAGGUCCCUUAUAAACACUCUCACUUCCACCCUUCUAGAUGAAAGGGAAUAAAAAAAAAAGUCCCUCUUCUACGCUUUCAGGAAAGGCUUUAAUAACUAACAGUAGUAUCAGUUCCCUUAUCACCACUCUCACUUCCACGCUUCUAAAUCAUUCUAUGAACUCGUUUCUACACUUUUACGCCAUUCUAAGUUUUGUAAUGCACUAGUCACGUCCACGCUACUAGAUCAUUCUAUGAACUAACCACUCUCAUUUCUACGCUUCUAGGCCAUUUUAUGUUUGCAAUACAGUUACUAUUGCAACUAGUCACUUCCACGCUUCUAGAUCAUUCUAUGAACCAUUUCCCGUAUAACCACUCAGCCAUUCUAUAUUUUUCAAUGCAGUCACCAUUGCAACUUGUAAUAAUGCCUACGAACACCUUUCUGUAUUGCAUUAAUAUAUAAUAGUGUAAUCAUAUUUAUCAAAAAAGAGACUCUAUAUAUUAUCAAGCAGGGACAGAUCUAUUAAGGAGCUUGAGGGUGUCACGCCACCCGCAAGCUUCGACGUAAACUCUAUAUAUGUGUAGGUAUGAAUAUAUAUAUAUAUGAAUAUAAAUCUAUAAUCUAUCUAUAAUCUAUAAUCUAUAAUAUAUUAAAAGUGUGAAGCCUUAGAAAAGUGAUUUAAACUUUUUGCCCUUUAUUAAAACACUUUACAAUAGACAAAAUCGUCUUUUCACUUCUUUUCUCCAAUUAUUAUUUAAUUAUAUAGAUAAUUUUGAAUCCUAGAAUAUAUGGGUUAGGAUUUUAAAAUAUGAUAAUGGAUUAGGACUUUAAAAUAUGGUAAGUUUCUUUUCUUAAAUUAGGACUAGGUUUAAUUUUCAAAAUAUUUUUGUAUUAAUAUAUAUUGUCCCGUCUCACGCUUGUAUUUUGUGUUUUCUUCAACCAUAAUCUAUCUAUAAUCUAUAAUCUAUAAUAUAUUAAAAGUGUGAAGCCUUAGAAAAGUGAUUUAAACUUUUUGCCCUUUAUUAAAACACUUUACAAUAGACAAAAUCGUCUUUUCACUUCUUUUCUCCAAUUAUUAUUUAAUUAUAUAGAUAAUUUUGAAUCCUAGAAUAUAUGGGUUAGGAUUUUAAAAUAUGAUAAUGGAUUAGGACUUUAAAAUAUGGUAAGUUUCUUUUCUUAAAUUAGGACUAGGUUUAAUUUUCAAAAUAUUUUUGUAUUAAUAUAUAUUGUCCCGUCUCACGCUUGUAUUUUGUGUUUUCUUCAACCAUUGUAAUUGUCAUCCGCUAGGUUAGUAUGUUAUUCUCUCUCUUUUUUUAGUUGUUUUUCCUUUUCUAUUGAUUGUCGUGACUUAUUAUUUUUUCUUUAGCUUAGAGAGUGAUUUUAAUUUUAAUACACCAUGCAUUAUUACAACUGUUUUGUUCGUGAAUUUUGAUUUCUAGGUUUGAUAUUCUCGUAUGUUCGAAUCUAACAAUGAAAUUAUUUUUCUCAUAUAUAUAUGUGCUUACAAUAAAAUAUCUGUUUUAAACUUUUUGUACUUCAUUAAAAACCUCGUGAUAGAUAAAAUCGUUUAAUUUUAAAUAAUCAAAAGUUACACGUGCGAGGCACGUGCAGCUAAACUAGUAUUUAAUAAAUGUGUCACCAAGGGAACUAAAGUGUUACACGUGCGAGGCACGUGCAGCUAAACUAGUAUUUAAUAAAUGUGUCACCAAGGGAACUAAAGUGCUAUGUUGCUCCAGUGGCAAAGGGGCAUAUAUUCUGCCCGGAGGGUUGCAGGUUCGAACCCUGCUGCCAACAACAUGUUUUGAUGCAAACCUUUUUUUUGUUUAGCUUAAUUUAAUUCAAUUAAUUGUAUCCAACUAUAUUUUGCCAGUGAAGUCAAAAUUAUAUUUAUUUAAAAUUUCUAUUAUACUUAUUUAAAAUUUCUUAUUGGUUAACUUAGUUAUAAUUAGAACCGACUGUUUGAUAUGUUCAAUGUAAGUAAUACUUAACCUAGGUAUAAUGAGAACCUCCGUUGUUUGAUAUGUUCAUGUUACGUAAUAACAAAAGGGAGUUGUUAAAAUUCAUUGACUUGUCCUUUCAAAAUAAAUAAGAUUUAAAUUUUGUGUAAAGUAUAUAGAUUAAUCUUAUCAGAUUAAGUUGAUCUAUGAUAAUAACCUGAUCUUAUAAUUGAAUUUUUUUUUUCUUUCUCUUCACUGCAGAUGCUUUUAAUUGUUGUUGACUUAUAUUAAUUCAUUUAUUUUUGACUGAAAUAGCAAGUUUAGGAAGAAGAAGGGAGUGGAUUUGGUUCUUUAUAUGUUACCAAGCUUGCUAUUUUAUUUUAUUUUAUUUUAUUUUUGAAAAGGAAUUAAUUCUAUUUUCAAUAUAUGAGUUCUAACUCUAUUUUAAAAUGCCAAAUUGUAAAUUUUGAAUAUAUAAUGAAUUUUAAUUCUUAAUUAUCAUACUAAAACUUUGUACAUAAAAUUGAGGCCAAAUUGCAAAAGUCACAUUUGUUUACUUUUUUUAGAAAAACAAAUAGAUAAAAAGCUGAAGCAUUCCUUCUUUUAAUCACUCCCUGUUGAGAGACAACAGUGGAGCGACAAUUUUUAUUAGGAAAAUUUAAAAUCAAAUGAAAAAACACACGAACUAGCCGAAGGGGGUUCAAUAUCGACUAUAUAUCGUAAAAAAUAAUGUUAACUAUAUAAAAAUAUUACAGUUUUCUAAUGAAAAGGGUUAAGAUGAACACUUUGACCGUAAGUUAGUUCUGCCCUUGUGAUACGAUUCAAAUGUCCACCUUAGCUUUCAAUGACAUCAUUCGAAGUCAGUACUUGGGGCAUCAAGCUUUGGUCACAUUAAGGAAACGGGAUCCUACAUGGAGGGGCCGAUUUGAGUACACCAAAGAGCAAUCCCACGUGUGAAAGAUUGUUUGGAGCAUUGAAGAUUGAGGACUCACGAUUUUGGGCCUUCAUUAAGGACAUUUUGUUUACUUAGCCUUGUCUAAGUAAUACUCCAUGACCACUCCUUUUCAUUAAGGGUAUUGUGGUCAUUUUGUUAUAUAAUAAGUUAGACUAUAAAUAGGUUCUAUUCAUUCAUUUGCUAGUUAGUUUAUGAAAUAUGAAAGAUUGAAACACUUGAAAUUCUCUCUCUUGAGAGUAGACCACCUUAGUAUAGUCUUAGUUAAGACUUGAAAAAGUCAUCCACAGUAUAGGGCUUGGAAAAACCAAUAUUGUUCUUUGCUUAGAAACGGUGGAUCUUGAGGUGAGUCGAUUACCUUGGCGAUCACCGUAAGAGUGUGGCUUUGAUUAUUACAUUUAUUAGGGGUUAAUUUUGAAAUAUACUUGGUUCUUAAUCUUGUAAUAAUCUUGGUCUCACUAUCUAUCCUUUCAUUAUUUUGCAAAUCCGUGUGUUUUUGUGUUUUUCAUCUUGUAUCCCUUUGUGUUGCUUGUUCUUCUCACGUUUUGUGGACUAUUUUGACAUCUUGGUGAACUGAUUUGUAUCAUUUGAUAUCAAAGCAUAGCUUGACCUUGUUCCCACAAAAUCAAUCUUGAACUCAUAAACUUGAAAGUCAAAAAAAAGUGUUAGAAAACUGAAAAAUCAAAAAGAGGCAAAUCUGUCCAUUUUUUUUGUGUUCUUGGCCGAAAUUGUGUUCUUGUUGUAGUUGUUGUUUUGGUCGAGAUUUGUUUCUAAAUUUAGGUGUGUUUUGAUUGUCUUAAUUGUUUCUAAGUGUUAUUUUUGUCUUCACUAAUGUAGACACGUAAUUUUAUCCCGUUAAUAAUAUUUCUUACUCGAAUAUCACACAAUUUAACCCCUUUUUUAUAAUUUUUCCCCAAAAGAAUAAAUAACCACCUCAUCUUUUAAUUAUUUAUGUAUUUUUUUUUUUUUUUAUCCAAAUAACAAAUUAUAACAAACUUUAUCUCAUUUUAAUAUUCCACCAACCCAUUCAAUCAAAAAUGGACACCUAACCCCUACUCCUCCAAUUCAAAAACAACACCACCACCCCUAACCUCACCUACCCUACCCUUCACGUGACCCCUCCCCCUACCUACUUUCUUUACACGUUUAUGCCAAUUCUAUAUAUACAAAGGAGCAAAGGAAAAGAAAAGAAUGGAAACGCGGGGCCCACAUAAUUAUUUCAUUAGUUUUCCUUCUUGGAUUGUCAAUACACCUAUGCACAUGAAAAAAGAACCUGAACGAAAGGACAAAAAACAAGGGGGGCCCAUUGGGAACUUUCCAGGAAAUACCCCAUUCACACAGUACACAGAUAUCAUAUAUACACACCAUUGUUUCUUUUCCUUCGGGGGUGACCUGGAGACACUAUCCUCUUCACUCAAAAUAUCGGCACACACAUACACCCAAUCGCACACACACGCGCAAUCCUCUCCCUUCACAGCUUACUCAAAAUCGCACACUAAUCCGUACAUACCUAAAAAAAAAAUAGAGCCGAUUGAGAGAGAGGGUGACGAAUAGAGAGAGAUAUAGUUAUUUUGGUUUUGGAUUAUUGUUUUGGCGACACAGUCGUCGAAUUUAGACAUUUUCCGUCAGCUUAUUCCCUUCACGGCUCACUGGAGCUUAGAUUCAGACUGGUUUUGAGCUCUCAGUUAGACUUCGGAGAUGUUAGUUCUCGUUUGCUCGUCAUUCGUCUUCCGAUAUCGUGCCUUUGAAGGUUUUUGAUAUCGGGACGGUCUGUUUUUCGGUUGCUAUUUUGUUGUGGUUUCAUCGGUCUUCGCUACUAAUUUGAAGAUUAGAAUCUCAUUCGUCUCGAAUCGUUAAUCGCGAUCAAUUUUUGGUCUUCAAUCUUCGAUACCAAAUCUGGGGUUAUCGCAUUUUGGAUUGUUUCUCGAUUGAUUUGGAGAGUCGAGAUUUCGUUGGUAUUCUUCGAGGUUCUUGGACGGGCUCUUAUUUCUCUUAUUAAAUCAAUCGAAAGCUCCUGAGGUCCAAUUCUAACUUUUCUCUUUUUGAUUUUCUCGUGAUUACGAAUGAUUUGUAUGUUUGGGCAUAUUUGAAUCCUCGUUGUUUGUUUGUUUGACGUUGAAUUUAGAGUUGAAAACUUAAUUGAUAAAUUGUGUUUAGAAUUGGCUUAAUCAUUAAGUAGGAAUUUGGAGAGGGAAUCGGAAAUCUAUAAAGGGUGAAUUUUGGCUAAUUUGAUUCGUGGGUUGUUGUUUGACUUAGAAUGCAUUACUCGAACUUUAUGGUAGCAUGUUUUAGGUCGAGAUAGAAUAGACAAAUUUUAAGUUGGAUAGGCAAAAGUAGGAAUCGUGCAUAGUUGAAUGAUUUCAAAUGUUUGUGGAAUAGUUUAUUUUUCUCGCAUUUGAAAAAUGUAUUUAUUCGUCGGGGAAUGCCUCGAGGUCACAUUGUACUUAUUCAUCAGGGAAUGCCCCGACGUAUUAUGUACUCGGAGGAAGUGCGUGAUGAAGGCCCGAGACAUCGGGUAAAGCCUUGGAGCGUAGUUUAGGAUUAGUGUAGGUUUACUUUUCAGUUCUUUUUUUUUAUCUCAGGUUGUAAUAAUUGAACUGGACACUAUAAUUUUGAAUUUUUUUUGUUUGUUUGAUUGAUUUGUGUAUUUUUUUUGUGUGGUUUAUAUAUUCAUAAUGUGAAAAUUAGUCGAUACGCUCCACCAAGUGACCGUGGUCGAACUACGGGAUCGAGGGGUGUCUAACACCUUCCUCUCGGUCAACAGAAUUCCAUAGCCGGAAUCUCUGUUCGCGGAUCAGUGUUACAGAGUCAAAACCAUUUUUUUGAAAAAAGAUAUCCACGGGUGACUUGGCACACCCGAUUUAUGUCAAGUGGCGACUCUGAGUUUUGAAUGUAAAUAAUCCUUUUCGAAAUCAAUCUUCAUUUUGUCACUUUAAUAAUAAAAACCCUUUCGAACUAAAUUCUAACCUUUUCAAAAAAAAUUUAAAAAAAAGGGUGUGACAACUAACACCCUUGAGUCUAGAUCUAAGUUAAGCUUGAACAUUGUUGUUGGUAUUGUUGUUACGGUUUCAAGAACUUGAAUAUUGUUGAUGUUGUUGUGUGAACCAAAACUUGAAGGUGGUUUGAGCUCGUGUUGGUAUUUUGUUGUGGUUUUUAAGCUUGAAAAAGGUGGUGUUGAUUGUCGGAGGUUCAACGUGAGGCUAAGUUUUCAAACUUCUAUUGAAAGUUCUUGUUGUUCUAGACUAUCUUCAUGUCUAGUUGCAAAAAACCUGUUCAAUAGUGUUGUUUGAUCCAAAAGCCAAGUGGAAAGAAGUGAGGCCUUUGUUAGUCUUUAAAACAAAUCCCAAAAGCCUACCAAAAGGGAAAGGGGAACAAAAAGAUCUACAAAAGACUUAGUACUAAAAGAGGAAAAAAAACACUUUUCUAGGUGUCCAAAAUAGGAAAGGGCCAAAGGUGUCUUGUCCAAAAGGUAUAAGACAAGUCAAACCUUUUUGAAUAUGAAAAAGGGCUCCAAUCUUGAUAUUUUUCUUCCCCAAGGUCGGAAUACACUUCUUCAGGAAUUGAAAAUUGAACCAAAAUUUCAGAGUUGGAAAAAUAAAAACCUUUCAAAAACCGCAACCAAUCCUAGACCGCCACAUCACCUAUUUUUGUACAAUACCGAAACUUAGGGCUCAAAAUCUUGGAUUCUUAGUUUCUUAUUUUUGAUUCUUAGUUUCAUUUUUUUAUUCUUAUACUUAUUGGCAACUAGUAAAUAUCUACUAACUUGUAAAUUAAUUUUUGAAUAUGUUUCUUUCGUGUCUUCGUUAUUUGUGUGCUUUUCUCGUUUGUAACUGUAGUAACUUCUUUAUUUCAAGUUCAUAAGUGAACUUUGUUUUGUGUCUUGAGUCAAUUAAAACAAGAAUUCAUUCUGACCGCCAAGUAGGAUUGACAUCUUAUUGACUAUCGGAGUAUUAAGCAACUUUCAAUAUUUGCCGCUCCAAUUGUGAGAAUCACAAAGGUGGGUGUAUCGAGUGUUGGUAAGGAGCUUUUUGUUUUCUUUUGUUUGUUAUUGUCUUUUUUUUUUGGUUAGGUACCAUGGAUGCACAUAAUUUCAAGGCCACGUGUGAUCGCAUCCAUGACGAUCUUGAAGAUAUGAAACAACACAUUGAAAUGAUACGUCAAUUGUUAUCCAAACUCUUCCCUCAAAAUCCAAUUGUCCAAACAACUUGCGAUAAGAGCUUUCUGAAGGAAGUUGCUACCCAAUCUUGUGAUGGACUUUCACACCGAGGUAAAGUCGAACAUACUCAUGAACGUCAAGGUAAAAUAGCUAGCCCUUACAAUUUUGUGUAUGUGAAUGAUAAUUGUGUGGCUAGUAGUCUAUUGAGUGUGAGUUAUAGCUUGCCUAUAUGUGAGUCUAUUGUUUCUUUGUCACUUGAUGAUGAUGUACUUGUUGUGAGUGUGGAUACACUAGUUGAUCCUAUUGAUGACCGAAUUGACUCUUCUUAUAAGAUCGAUUUAUGUCCACCUAGUGUUGAAAUCAUUGUGUUGAAUGAAAGUACACCGUCUUGUGAAAUUUAUGGUGAAUCAACUUUUGUGUGAAAAUUGUCUACCACUUAAGGAUGUGUGUGAUGUGAUUAAUGAAUCGUGAUAAUGUUGAAAAUAUUGAUCAAAGGAAUAGGAGUGAACCCGAGAGCUAUUCUUGGGAUAAUCUUGCACUUGAAAUCUCUUUGAAACUUGAUAUUAAUCUUUUAGAGAGUGAUGAACGUGUUUGUUCCGAAUCUGUCCGUGAAAUAAAUCAUACUCUCUAAAAGUAUAAUGUCUUGUUUGAAGAUAAUAUAACCACUCCUAAUAAACCUAGUGGUGGAAAUGAUGGUAUACCUUGCCUUAGAAGCUAUAGUCGAUAUGUUAAUCCACUAUGGUGUGACAACAUUCCUCCUAGAAAGAUAAGAGUGCUCUUAAGGGUAAGGAAUGUGUGGUUUUAAAAACUACUUCUCCUUCUACUUUAUGUGACUUUAUUAUUGAGAGUACUCGUAAUGAUGAUUGUGAAAUUAAUAGUAAGUACACACAUGAGGGCGCCUUAGUAGAAAUCAACUUGAGUGAUACCUUUCUCUACUUUCUAGUUGCUCUAGAUAAUAUGUAUGCUAUUGUAGAGAGUAUGUCGUUUAUUUUGGGUGAAGACCACGAAAAAGGAGAGUGUUAUUUAAACCCGUAUCUAUAAUCACUCUUCCGUUUGACCCCGAUGUCAAAUAUAGAAUUGGUGAUGAUGAUGCACCCAACUUGUUGAUUAGUUUACAUAACAAGCAAAGUAUAUCUUUAGUAUAGAGCUUAGAAAAAUCAAUAUUAUUCUUUACUUAAAAAGAAUGAAUCUUGAAGUGAAUUGAUUACCUUAACAAUCACCUAAGAGUGUGAUUUUAAUUAUUACAUUCAUUAGGAGUUAAUAUUGAAAUAUACUUAAUUCUUAAUUUUGUAAUAAUAUUGAUCUCACUAUCUAUUCUUUCAUUAUUUUGUAAAUUCAUGUGUUUUUUGUGUUUGUCAUCUUGUUGUUCUUCUCACAUUUUGUGGAUUGUUUUGAUAUCUUGAUGGACUGAUUUAUAUCACCUUGGAAGCAAACUCAGGAUUUAAAGUCUCCGAGUGAUUGAAACGAUAAAUUUACUUAACACCUUAAAGACUCCGAAUUCUGAAUUCGGUUCUGGAUCCAAAGGUAUAGUAGCCAUGAUAUUUUUUUCAAAAGAACAGAAGUAAACGGAUCCAACUCCCCAUCAUUUCCUUUCUCUCCCUUUACUGUUUGAAUUAGUGACAUAGGAUCCGAAGUAAACAAGCUACAUCCAACAGUAUUUUCUACAUUACUAAAAAUAAACCUCACAAUACUUGUUAUUAAUUUUUAUUUGCUCUAAUUAGAUUAAACGUGACAACCCUCAAUAAAUCUCUUAUCAAUAUUUAACAAUUUAAAAAUAACACACACAACCUACAUGGAAUAAAUAAAAAAAGAAAAUUGGACAGAAUGCCGAAAGAUUCUUUUCUCAAUUUGGUGAGUUAUACUCACUAAUUUUCUUAUUUGAUUCUCCAUUUUACUUAUUUUUUUAGUAAUUAAGAUAAAACAAAUUUUUUUCAUAUUUUACUUUUGUAGGAUAUUAUUAAUUAUUUUUCUUAAUUAAGAUGAAGAAAAUAUUAGAUUUCUUUUGAGUAAUGUCUGCUCCAAAUUAUCAUUUUUUUUUAUAAGAUUCCUCUCAAAUUAUGUCCGAUCCUAAUUAUCCAGGAAACAAAAGUCAUUUCUGCCUGAAGAGGCAACACACAAACAGAAUACCAGAAGCAUUACACUGCAUUAAACACCAACCAAACAAUAUCAUGCCCAUACAAUUACCCCAAAUUACCUUUUCAUAAUACUUGCAAAAACUUGAAAAACAUAACAAAAAAGCAUAAAGAGCAAGACACGAGUACUUCUAGAUAGAUCCCUACCAUUUUAUUUGUACUAACAUAUAAUUCCACUAACCAUCAAACAUAUCCAGAAAACAGAGCAACAUGUUUAACAUUUCAAGCAACUUUAACCUCAUCCAGAAAACAGAGCAACAUGUUUAACAUUUCAAGCAACUUUAACCUCAUCCAGAAAACAGAGCAACAUGUUUAACAUUUCAAGCAACUUUAACCUCAUCCAGAAAACAGAGCAACAUGUUUAACAUUUCAAGCAACUUUAACCUCAAUUGUUUUGGGCUUCUUUGGUUCAGGAGGCGGCAACUUCUGAACAGUGACGGUUAACACCCCAUCCUGACAAACAGCAGAAAUUGCACCAGUAUUAGCAUUCUCUGGCAGAGUAAACUUCCUCAUGAAUUUCCCAACCCUUCUCUCCAUUCUGAUAUACUUUGCACCUUCUUUCUCUUCUUCCCUCUUCCUUUCUCCGCUAAUAAGAAGCACAUUUUCCUCUUCCACCUGCACUUUGAUGUCUCCAGAUUUCAGCCCCGGCAUAUCAACGACGAAAACAUAGGAAUUAGGAUACUCUUUCACGUCUGCUGGUGUGGCAGCCAUGGCUUUAGCAUCACGAACAUAGUUCCUAGACGGGGCAUUCACAGACUUGUCUGAUUCGUCACCUGCAGUGUCCAUCAUGUGCUGGAGAACAUGGAAAAUUGGUGUAUUGUCCAUACCCAUCAGCCUGAAAUCCAUUUUCCUCUGUGAUUUUUGUUUGGAAUC